ensembl:lncRNA
ACGUUCACGUUUCUCCCUGUUCUUUCUCUGUCUUUGUUCUGCAGAUGCGCCAAUUUGUGCUGUCUAUUGUAUGCUAAACCUAUGGCAGGCUAUAGAUUAUCUAAUAGUAAACUGAAGCUAGUUUGUUUUACAUCAUUGUCAGCACAGUACAAUGUUAAAUGGGUGUGCCGACACACAUAUUGCAGCAAUGGGGACGUCUCUAUGGAACCCAUGAAUCAUGGGUCUUGGUGCUGAAUGCUUUAUGUGUUUGAGGGAUGAUGUGCAGUCACUGUGACCGUCUGCUGCUGGCUAUCACCAGGAACAACCAGUAAGUAGCCUGCUGGUGGGAAAUGCUUUUUUUAUGUGUCUGUGAUGUCCUCUAACAUGCACAUCUGGACCAAAUGUUCACAUAAUGUCAGUCAUACUCUCUACCGCUUAUCCUGAGAGGGUCGUGGGGGGGCUGGUGUCAAUCCCAGCUAACAUUGGGCGUGAGACGAGGCCCAGCUCACGUCUUCCGACUGCAAGGGGAAGGCAGAACACACGGCGAGAACCCAGGCAGAUCUUCUUGCUGUGAGGCGACAGUGGUAACCUCCACACCACUGUGCCGCUCCAAAAGUGUUGUUGUUAAAGAUGAUAGAUUUGGUGACUUUUGGCGUGGACAGGAAGUAGUUGCAAUCGGAGAUCAGGCCUCCAUCUUUCUGAGAUGUCGAGUAAAACCUAAUAAAAAAUGAAUUCACGUGUUUCUGUCUUUUCCACUCAGGUGUACUUUGUUUAAAUCAGCAGACUACACGCAUCCCUAAACCCGUAGGUUGUUGCUCUAACAUCAGCCAUUAUCUGUCCGGAAAAAUCUUUUUCAAGCAUCAGACUUGUCUCUCCUGAAUGAACUUUCCUCAUAACUGCCAAGUUAAGACCAACAAGAACACGAAGGCCUGGUAAUGUAUAAAAAAAAAAUAUCUAUAUAAAAAAUGAAAGCAGAAUGAACAGAAGCAGGGACACCGAAGAAGCAGGGACACCGCCUCAAGCGCAUAGCAAGGAACAACUCCUUAGUCUGAGUCACGUGUCUUUCUAGUACGCAGUAUCUGUGCACGCUUGUGUUCAUGUGUUUUGGUACAGUGUGUGUUAUGUGGAGACAGAAGUCCCGCCAGGACUGGUCACCUGUCACUUCUGUGCACUCGCUGUAUGUGGGAAUGCGCCAGUGGAAAAAGCCCUCACUAUUUUAAUGCUGCUUAUUUCCCAGCACCUCGCACCGGCCUUUUCCUCUCUCUGUUUUGGCACGAGAGCGAGGAAAACCCUCUAUGUGUGUGUAUGUGUGAGUGCGUACGCCCUCGCACCUCGUCACCUCUGAUGCUGCAGCUUGAAGCCCUCAUUGCCAGGAGAACCCCAGACUGGCAGGCAUACCGAACGCCUACGCACACACACACACACACGCACACACACAUGCCUGUGUGCACUAGCCCAUGCUUUUACGCACACAUGUGAACUGCACAUCUAGAAGCGCAGGGGUACACAAACACACGCAUAGAUCCCCACACAUCCGCACACGUGUCUGUUAACCCUUGUGUUUCCUUACCAGUGAAGCCCACGUGUCCACAGCAGGACACAACUUGAUUUUUAAUGUUAAUUCCUUAUUAAUUAUAUUUCUCUACUGAGAUAGAAUUGGAUGUGCGGGAUUGAUCUACUGUAUGUGGUGCACAACAAGAUAUUCAACGUGCAUUAUCUCAAAACAAGUCCGUCUAUUGGACUGAAUUGUUCCUUAUUGGGUGAUUGUGUCUUAUGUUAGUUAGAGACAUUUUGACAAGCUAAACAAGUGUUUCAAACUCAUUUUAGGUAGGCCAGAACAGGAAAAUCAAAGGUGACCAUGCAGCCAACGGAUGGGGUGGUGGGGGAGGGGUGCAGAUGCAUCGGUUGACUAGUGCUCGCAGAUGGUCAUUUUCAUGUGGCUAGCGACACCCACACAGUGCGACCCCCAGUGGACUGAUUAGGGAUAGCAGCUAUUUAUACAAUAUAUCGCGGGCUCACUGUAUGAGUAAUUCAAUAUUUCCCCGGAUUUGUCCCGCAGGCUUUGAGUUUGACAUAUGUGAGCUAAACUAUUAUGCUACUGCAAGUUCAGGUAUAGAGAAUCCAAACUUGGCUCAACGUGGUUAAUACAAGUUAUACUUGACAGUAGCUCCAGAUGGUAGUCAGAGGGAAUUUAAAUGUCUUAUAAACCUGCAAGGUCUUUUGGUUGAAACCAAGAAAAAAAAAUCCCAACUAACAUUUGGUGAAGGCUGGGAUCCCACUGAGGAGAUGGGGAGACUAUUGCAGUGCUGACAAGACACACAAAUUUUGUUUUUCCGGUGAUGAUGUCACAAAAACACAGAAGCUCAGUCAAAGCUUCAACUGUAAAAAUGAUGACAUUCUGCACACCCCCAUGCUGUUCCUACUGUGUUCAUACAUUCAGUGAUAGCCCAAAGAGCUCUUCAAGAAAGGUCCUCGGGUGCGUUGUAGGAGUUUAACUGUUCCGUUAAAUGACACACAGGUAGAGCAAGGAUGAGAAUGAAUCUUCUUAGGAAAAAAAAUGAAUCGAAAUAAAUGGUCACAAUGUGUAGGUGUAUGGUUACCAAAAUGCUCACGCAUAAUAAUUGCUACAGUCCAUCUCCUGGUAUACUAUAACAUAAUAGUAUAAUAAAACAUUCCUUUUGAAAAAGUACGUUUUUUUUCAUCCCCGGCUUUCUGAGUGGUGUUUCAGCUCGUGUUACAACACACUGCGAUACUCAAGUGAGCGGUUUCCCAACAAAUGUAACAUGGUAUGCUCAUGUUUUGCCUGCGUAUCAAUCAAGUCUGCAAUAAGACCUCAGGAAGAUACAUCAAGUAUAUGAGAGGGGGGGAUGGUUGGUGGUCGGAGGGUGGGAAUUGGAUGAGAAUCAGCCGUGUCGGCGUUCCUUGUCGUUGUGUAUGUGGUUUUACAUGGAGACGUGCGUGAGCUCGGAUGCCGGCCCUGCAAUAGGGUAUCGCUGGCUGGGAGGAAAACUGAGAUUAAGUUUCCCCAGUGAAAUGUCAGCUGAAUAUUGUUACCACCAGAGGAUCAGAAAGCAGCCGGGCACCAGUGAACCGUCUCUGGAUGGAAUUCCCUUCCCUCUUUCCACAACGGUUCUAAUAGAUCCCUCGCUGCUCGGUGGGGUUUCCAAGUCAGUGUGUUUGUGUGCGUGCAGCUGAACAGACAUAUAUCCUGACCACAAGCUUGUGCAACAGAGGAUGGUGUAUGUGUGCAUGUGUUUUGUGCAUAUAUAAGUUGAGAGGUUUGGGGAGGUUAGUUUGGGCUGUUACUAUGUGCAUGAACAAUCACACGUGUGCUAAUGGUAACGGGGAUUUGCUAUGCAAAUUCCUGCCUGGUGACCCAAGUGCUGCUGUGAGAGAGAGAGAGAGAGAGAGAGAGAGAGAGAGAGGGAAAGCUAACCAGGUGGUGCCCAGUCUUGUGUCUCACCCAGGGUGGUCCAGUUAGAAGGGAUGAAAUUAAUCCUCAUUACGUUAAUCAGGCUCUCUCUCACAGACGCACACACAGGGCCUGUAACGUUUAUGUCUGUUCUGCAAAGCAACACCCAAAAUGUUGGUGAGAUCUUAACUCUCUCUGAUCAUUUUGGCUGAAUUUAGUUAAUUAUAUAAUUAGCAUGUCCCAAACGAUGCAGAAUAUGCCCUCACACAUGGUACACCACCACAGGUGUUUUUGCUUGCUGCCUGAUUAGAGCUCCUCCCAGGAGACACAAGCUGCGUCUCAUUUGGUCGGCUGCAGCCUCCUGAGGCUGCUCCUUAUUCGUCCACCACUACGUCAACUCGGCUGUCCCGUUCCGUCGGGCCGAGUAAGUAAUAGAAUUCAAUCAAAUUCCUAUGGAUAAAAAUGUUAGAGAAUAACAUCACAUAUUGGUUUCUAAAAGUUAUUUCUGGUGUAAAGCCUCGGGACCUUACACCGUCGACUCGGCCACCUCCUGUGUCGGACCACCGCCUCCACACAUUCCCGCCCUCAGUUGUUGAAAUAAGAGCUGUAUACCUGAUUCUGUCUCCUGUGGUCAAGCUUUUGGGUCUGUCAGGAUCUCCAACCAACUCGGGGGGGAUUGGAGAUCCUGACAGGUCCUACUUGAACUGCCUAAGUUCUUUAAACGUUACUUAAGUAACUGACGAUGGUUGCUUUACGCCUUUUGUUUUGUGAUUUGCUUUACUCCUUUUUGUUUUGUCAUUAUGAAGUAAGUUUACAUUCAGUUGGGUUUUAGGGAGCCAGGAGGAAGCAGCAUCGAGCUGAAGGAGAACAAUGUGUUUGGUGACAUUCAGCUUCUGUAGCUUGGACAUAUUCUGUGCAUAUAUGUUAAUACAUUUGUUUGCUGCUGUGUUUUUUAUUUCCUCUAUCAUUGCAAUAUUACUUUUAACUAAAAGUUCAGGGCUAAAGCAAAUUGAAUAAAAAAUGACGGACAAUCGUCUUCUCUGGUGCUGAGAUAUAUCAUUCUUGAGGCGAAGCAUAUCAUCCUAGAUUAAUUGAAAUAAGAUUACUUUAUACAUUUUUCAGGUUUUAAUGUUCUGCAAAAGACAAUUACAUUUUGUUUGACUUAAUGCAUAAGUAACAAAUGAUGAAAUCAAAUCUACCGUGACUUUGUUCCAGCGUACUUAACAUAAAUAAGCCUAAAUGUGAUGUUUAAUGGAUUGGUAAAAAUGUAUAUUUGGAGACUUUACAAACUGAUGUCAGAAAGAUUUACGUCAUGAUUUAAAAAAAAAAAAAGGUUUAUACCAAGCUACGUCAUUUGGGGCACUGGAUUCCAGAGGCUGAAUGCUAUAUUAACAUGUUCUGAGCAGUACUUCAUGUAAGUAGUUGUUGAGCUAAGAUGUUUCUAAGCUCCACGACUCUGCAAGAGUUAUUUUGAGUGUGCAUUUGUGUGUGUGUGUGUGUCUUUCAUUAGGUACGUUUUACACACAUCACCUCUCUCUCAUUCAUUUUGAUCGACAGGCUGGUUUGAAGAAUCCAUCUUCUUGUGUUCAGGGGAAUUUUUCACCCGUAUUUCUCCUGCGUCUUAACGUCCGUCUACGGCACGUCCAUUUGCCAGUUUUGAUGUACUAAUUUCAUCUGUGUGCGUAUGGGCUCUUGUGUGUGGGAACAAAUUUCCAGUAGCUCUCCCUCCAGAAACGCCGCAUGGCUCUUCAGAAGGGGAUAUUAGUGCUGACCGCGGGCCUCUUUCCCCUCUCCGCUUCCAUCUGGUGUCGCAUUAAAUAUUAAACCUUUUAAUUUGAUUCAAUUCCCGACGACAAACACCCUUGAUUGGAUCCAGAUGCCCUUCAGCCAGCGGGCCCCACCCCAAGCCUGCCCUGUGCCGAGAGUUCGGAUGCUCCGGAGCUGGGCACAGGAGCUGGAACUGAAACUUGGAUUAAGGCUGGAACAUUGGACGGAAGAUGCGCACGGUGCUCCAGUUUGGAGUGUGGUGGAAGUGGUACUUUGGUAGGGAAGGCAAUGCAGCAGAAGCUGCCUUUUGGGACUGUGGAUGGACAUUGAGCUGGCAGUUGAGUUAAGACUGGUACUUGAUGUGGAACCAAGACUGAAAUUGAAAUGUCUCCCCCUUUCAACUGACUAGUUAGCAAUGCUCUGCGCUCUGUUUGGUUGUGCUCAUACCCACAAUGUGGGUCAACAUUGAUCCAUCAUCCAAAAGGAAUGGACUUCCAUUUGAAAGCAAGCAAGGGAACAAUUUAAAAUGUGACCGCACGUGAACGCUAAAUGUCUACAUGGUGAUUUUAUUUACACAAAGCUGAUUGAUUGGAGGAACAAGAUGUAUUUUUGUUAUGAACACUACAAUAGUAAUAAUAGUUGGUUAUAUGAUGAUUUAUUGGUUUUACAACCACCAUACUGCGCAUACACAGCUGUGAGACUGACAGUCAAAUCAGGCUCCUCAGAUUAAUAAUUGAAUAGUCCACUAGCUACUGUCAUUUUUCUCAUCUUGGCCUUUCUUUCCCUUAUUAUAAUGUUCAUAGAGUUUAAGGCCAACCUCGGAUUGAGGUUGGGAUGACAGUCUCUGUACUCAUCUGUUCAGGUUUGUGAGUUGUUGAGUUGUGGGCUCCUUUGGUUGUUUUUUCUCUUACAACAACAAAAGUGACAUUUUUUUGUCUAACCAGUGCAAAUGGGGUGAGAUAAUAUCAUUCGUUGCCAAUGUAAGUCAUUGGGAUUCAGGGACCUCAAAUCGUUGCUAUAGUGUUCUUUUCGGUGCCUUUAUCUCUCUUGUUUUGACAUGUUUUGCUUAAAAAUUCUUGAAAUAAGUGAACGUGCUUUGGAAUCAAGCAUUGUUGUGUCACUUUGAUGGACAUAAUCUGUUUCCUAUUAUAUCAAGACCAUUUCUUUGAGAAGAAAUUACUUAAUGCAUAUUUACGCCUCUCGCUGGGAGACCCACUUAUGUCCUCCUCCGUUUGUGUUUGCCAGUUGUUUGACUCUUAAUGGGUGUAUUACUACAUAAGAGAUAAUGGUGCUCGGAAGGGAACAGAGCGGUCCAGAGUACCUAGGGCUAAAUGUGUCUCCCCUCGCCUGCAUAAGGACCUGACAGCAAGUUUUGUCCCGGGGGUCAUAACUAGUUCAGCUUGUUACCAUUUUAUUCGGUUUUUGUUUUCCCCAACAUUAAAUUCUUUCACAGUUUAGACAACACAAAAACUGAGGGAAAGACAGUGAAAAGAGACUGGAUUUGGCAGUCUAAAGAGAUAUUUUUAUUUUUUUCUUAAUGUUCAUUUCUAAUUGACUCUGCCGCUCCUAUAAGCAGUAAUAGUGAUGUUGUCAUUCAGUUUGUACUCAAAUCAACGUAAAUGUAUCCAUUGUAAUUUGUAUAGACAAAUGUAUUAAUGAGCACUAAUGUGCAGGUCUCCUUAUAAUAUCAUUGGGUCACAUGGUAAAGAGUAACAACAUGCGCUUAGAGAGGGAGUGGGGAUGGAUGAGUCAAACAAACACAGGACACAGAAAAAAUAAAUCCUUGCAGACAUUUGUUCCGUAAGCUAUGUACAUUAAAUAACGUCAUCUAGGGAAGUUACUUAUCAAGCAUAGUUACUUUAGUAGUGACAACUGACAGUUUUGAAAUGUUGACAUGUUGAAUAGCUUCGGGUAACUGUUUGUCGGUUUGUCAUAGUAAAUGUGAAGCAGUAACAGAGAGGAGGUGUCUUCCAGACUGAUCUGUUGCCGAGCUUCGUUUGUUUCUAGGGUCAAAGGUUAAAACAUUCGAGCCAAUAGUUUAUAAACUUAUAACAAGUCAAUUGAAAGUAGUUUCCCUCCAACUCCCCACAGAUUGCUGGUCACUCGUCUCCUUCUUUGACUUUUCUAUUGAUUUAUUUUGUCUUUCUGUAGGUUUUAAGAUUGAAAAAAAAUGAAAAGAAAUGGGUAAAUCAUACAGAAUGAGAUAAGUGAAAGAGAAGUGUAAAACCAUGACAGGACAAUAGUGAAGCGUGACGAAGGGUGGAAUAUGAUCGAGUGAGAAAUAGUGUUAUUAUUAUAAGAGUUAUUCAGCAUUUUCUCUCCCAAUGAUUCAUGUUGGAUGUUUGCCCCGUAUCAGACUUUGCCUGACUUGGUGGCGUGUUACAGUUCUGGGCGAUCAAAGAUAAACCCGGGUCUGGGAGAUUUUAGCAAGAUCCCAAAUGAACCUCUCUGUAGAUAUUCUCUAAUCCAACCCAACUACAACUCAGAAUUUACUUCACAUACGUGCGUUUUCACAUUGCAGUCUAACAUUCGAACACUCAUUAUUCAAUGGGUUGCCCAUUUAGUUAGCAUCUCUCUUUGAUAACUACUGCAUGAUGAUCUUUUGCAAAUGUUACACAGCUGAGCAGAUUAGUAUUUUGUUAUAUCACAUUGUACUUUAUCUAAACAAACCUGACCAUUUCUCCAAACUUCUGGCAGCUCGAAAAGAGCAGAACUGCAUGAUUUUUCCCCAAAAAAUCCACUUGGACAGCAAGCCAAGGUGCCGCAUUGGGUAAAAAUUGAGGCUUUAAGAUUUGAUGAAAUUAGAUUAGUUAAACGGCAAUGGUAUUUGUAGAGAAAUGUUUCCUGCAGCAAGAAGUAAUAGGAUACAUCAAAGAAAAAAAGGAUAUAAAGACUAACAGAGUAAAUGGGUGGUUAAAUAAACACACACAGCCGACAAUAAUUCACAAUAACUACAUCUCUGCAAUUUAAUGUAGGGCAAAUCUGCAACCACAAAUGUGAAGUAUUAAAUGAUGGGCCAUAUAUGCUUCAUAUGUUAGGGAGUCAAACGGUUCUCCCUGAAGGAAAGAACAUAUUGACUGAGAAGUGAGUAUUUCUGCAUGAAAUUUUAAAAGGGCUGAAGAACGAUGCCACUGAGGCCUCAUGUAUGUAGGCUACAUUUGCAAACGUAGCGUUAUCAGUACCACGGCAAACGCCCAGAUAGUGCUCGCUGUGAUACUUAAGUGCACGUUUCAGUAACUAAUAUUGCACGGCUGCUUAAUCUGUAAUGUGUAAUGAAUUUGUGUUCACUCAAGUGAAAAAAUGUGAUCCUUGUAGCAAAAAUCUUCAGCUCGUCUCCUUGUCCUAUGUCGCCGUCUGGCUCGGGGUACUGGUGCAAUUUCACCAGGAGGCAUAUGGGAGGAAACGCGCAGUCUGGUUAACACCUGCUUUUAAGAGGCGGAGAAUUUUUCACUGAAGAAACAAGCCUCUUUUCAUAGGCGGUUUCUGUACAUACCAAAUACAUAAUUAUGCGCACUUUACGCAUCACCCUCCCAAUUCUUUAUGGGAAACUCCCACUUUCCAUUGGACCCUCCCGUGAAUGCAUAUGCAUGACACAGAAAAGCGCAACUAGCCUUUCUUGGUUUCCGCGACAGGCAGUCUGCGCUUUCACCGGCAUGUUUGUACAUACCUCGCCAUGCUUUUACGCACACGUAGCAAAACAGAUACACCUGAAGUGGGCGCAAAAGCGUGUUAUCUGCUGUAUUGCACUGCUGUAUUCUGUGUGUGUGGGUGUGUGAAUAUGCACAGGGUUGGCAGGGCUGUUAGACAGGCGGUGGAAGGAGCCUCAGAUUAUUGACACAAUCCUGGCAGAGCGCAGCGGCGCGCGGUCCAAAAAACCCGUCUGGCAGGUCUCAACGCUGUAAUCAGAUCCCCCUCCGUCCAACUCACAGCGCCGAAAAACACACACAAUGUGCCUUUUUCUGUGAAACAAUCAAACUUUUUUUUUUUGCCCAAUUGCCUUCCUGUUAGUCUGCCUGUCUCUUACUGUCUGGCCCUCGAUCAAUCACUGCCUGUGUCUCAGCACGUCAUCUAAGGGGAUGUCAACGGCAUGUGCUGACCUUCAGGUCUGAGGUGUGGACUACAGCCUCACCAUUUUGUUUACCGUGCCGUUUGUGUGUCUUUGAACAUGGACUUUGUUGUGCAGCUGCCAUUGGUGGUCUCAAAUGAACACAGGAACAGCUCGUUCUGCACUAAACUGUCACUUUCAGCCCCUGAUGACGUUUUAAUUUAUUGAAUGUGUUGCUCUCGAAUGGAAGUCCAUUCCUCUUCGAUGAUAGAUCGACAGCGCUACAGAGGCAUGCGUUGGGUUUAUUCUAUUAUUCAUUGGAAACUAUUGUUUCCAUAAACUAAACAUUUAUCCCCUAAAGUGAUGUCAUGAUCAAGGCAUUUCAAGAGUCAAAUAACACAUAUUCAUAGAUAAACAUUACCAUAGUGCUGAGUGAUGAUUCUCAGUUAUUAUGAAGAACAGAACAGAACAGAAAAUAAGAUGUUUUGCCUUUUAACUGAAGAAUUUUAGUUUUAUAAUGCAGUGAAUUGUAUGAAUACUGCUUUUUAGGCUGGGUUACUUUAUGUCUACCCAUAGGUAGACUUGGUUUGCAGAAGAAGGCAAGGUAUCUAUCUUGACAGAGAUUACACAGAAGAAAAUAAGAAAUAAUGGAUGUUUAGCAAUAUUUUAUCAAAAUAAACAACUUUCGGAACACUCCAUUGACAGACAUCUUGUCUAAAUUUUAACCUAUAUUGCCAUUUCAACCAGUUUAUUAUCUGUGAUAGACUGUGUAAUAAUGAGUGAAGUAGGCCUAUGUUUAAAUAAAUAGAGCAUCUAGGAUCUAAAUCACUGUCCUACCCUUGAGCAACUGUUUGACUAUGUACACUCCUUUCUCUGCCUUACCGUUUGAAUAGGCAUACAAGGGGGUCAAAGUCACAUGUCUAAAGUCGUAUUCUUCUCAAAAACUCAGGAACUCUUUACAGUUGUAUGAUGGACCAUCAGGGAGGUUUGUGAUUGUCAUGGGCUGUCUUCACUGUUUUACCUGAUGUUUUAGACAGGUGUCACAACUUGAGACCAUCCUGUCUUGUAUUGAUUCAUGGCUAGUAGAUUGUGCGGGGUCUCCCUCACUUCCCUUCAUGCAAUCUUUUUAGCAUCUCUGGUCUCAGUGAACGAGGAGUGAUAACGUUAUUCCUCAAGAGCAGUCUUUUGAUAACACUUAUGUUGCCUCUUAUGUUGGCGUACACACUCACCAAUCUUUAUUCAUAAGCUUGAUGACUCUCUGCAAGCUUGGAUCUUUCUAUGUUUCUUAGGCAAUCUGCUUUGAUUUCCUUUCAAGACACCUGACAUCAGCACCUGUAGCCUACUUGCUGAGGUUUUUCUUAAUGAUGGAUAUAAGCGGCUUCAGCCACAAACUUGGGUAGGCCAUACACAUAUCUAUGGAAGUUUUGAAAACCAUACAAAGUGCUAAGCAGUCUUUUUCAAUCUGCGUACCGGCAUUUUAUGCUGGUCAUGGUUUUUGACCCAACGGCGAUUGUUUUCCAGUCUUGUCCAACAGCCUGCAGUAAUACUAAUAGCUGUUUAGCUAGCUAGUUAGCUACAUGCUAACGCCGUAUAUUCGUCGUAAUGACGUCGCCGUGUAACAUCGCUACCCAGCUGCAACACACAACCAGGACGUGGAUGAAAACGGGCAUAUUUUAUCCAAAAAUAGUCAAUUGUGUGAAGUUUUGUGGGGCUUUUGAUUUGGUCUUUCCUCAACACACUGAUCGGGUUAACUUAUAAUGCUAUAGGUUAGAACAUAAGGCCAUGUGUUAGUUUAAAAAUAAAGGAAGUUAAAAAAUAACGUGCACCAGCGAAGAGAAAGUGACGAAAGAAAGAAAGUAGAUGUCAUAUUCAAAAUAUCGUUUAUAUAUAGUGUAUAUAUAAACAAUAUUUUGAAUAUUAGUUAUAUAUAUUGAUAUACUGAAUCGUUUGAAUAAGAUGUCCUUAUUAUGUUAAACUGUUGAUGUUAAAUAUUUAACUGCAAAGUAAUAAUGCGUGUUUGAUACCCUUUUUUGUAUUACGGAAACUGAUGCCCUACCAAAAAAAAUAAAUCCACCAGCCGCCACUGGGUCUGAUAAUGUUCCCUCCUUAUUUAGUGUUUCAGAUCUUUAAGAUCCAUUCAUGGGCGCAAGUCUCUGCUUGGUUCGGCUUUCUGACACACACCAUCAAACUAACCCAUUCUUUAUGCUCCUCGACUAACUCCUAGAUGAUGAUAUAAUGCAGCCAAGCUCUUCAUUCAGCUUUUCCCACCCUGGCGCUGGAACAUGUCUAAAAGCAUGUAGAACAGGCCGUGCAUCUUCCGUUACAUUACAGACUGGGUUACACAUUUUGUCUGCACUCCAUCACAAACUUUGGGAAGGUAAACAUUAACAUUCAACAUUAACAACAAUUAUGCUUCUGUCUUUAAUUUUCCAUUUCUCGCAAAUCCCUUCAGCUAAAAUGGCAGUAAAUCUUGAUUUAUCUUUUGAUUUCCAUCUUAGCAAAAAAGAGCUACAUAACCUCCACUCAUGCCGUAAGAGUUUAAACAACUUUGAUACAUCAUCAUGAUGCAUUGUUAAGAAUUAAAUAAUACCCAGUAUUAAGUGUUUUAAGCAGCUCCUGAGGAGUAUUUUGUGCUUUUCUCAACAACUGGCAACUCAAUUUCUGAUUGACUUCAGUUUUUCAAAUCACAUUUGAACCAUCUGCUGAAUAGGUGUACUUAUUCCACCUCUUGACUCUCCUGACAAAGCCAUCAGAUAUGUUCUCCUUUGAAGUAAGAGACAAAUGUCUUCUCCGUCCACUUUUCUGUGCUAUAGUAUAGGACCUGAGUAAGGGUUAAGAACGUAAGCACUGCCAUGUGUUUUGCAGGCAGAGUGGGUCGGUUUUACCAGGGCCAAUCAUCUACUGUUGGCUGUUUAAAGUAUGGAGCUGGGACUUUCUACUGCCAGCCUCAGUUGCCAGUGGACCAGUGGAUUUGGCUGAGUACGUCUCUCUCUCCCUCUCCCUCUCCCUGUCCAUGUCCAUGGCACUUAGUACCACGGUAUUCAGCCAAUAGGCAUGAUCUUUUGCAGAAAUGGGAUGGAAACGGGACUGCAGAAUGCUGCAGGCCCAGUUAUAAUCUUCGGCUGUGUGCCCAACGCUCUUGGCUUAGCCUGAGCCGCUGUCAAAGACCUUCUAAUUCUUUUAAUACAAGGCCCUUGCCCUGUGAUCUGUACCAACAAACCGUAAGCCAGUUGUGACAUUUUAUCAUAGUUAUUAUGUUAAUGUUCUUUAUUAACGGCACCAAAGCACUUGUGACUCUGAUAAGCUGCUGGUUAUUUUGACACAUACAACAUGUGAUACAAACCUUGGUUAAGCCUGUGUUAUACCACCUGGGCCAAGUCCAAUUAAUGGUUGAAUAUGCAUUUCUCAGGAAUGUGUUGUCAUGUUGAGUCCAAAUAGGAUUGUUUGUUGGACUCAAUACUAUAUUUCAUUAAAGCAGGAACCAAGUCCUGAAAGUUUUGCUAGUUCACAAACACGUAAUUUGUAGUAGUAAUAUGUUUUGUCUUAUGAAUGUAUAUUACACACAACCAUUGUUGAUCUUAUGAAAGCUGUGGCCAUUAGCACAUGGGCAUACUUAAAAUUGAAAUAGAAAAAACGGUAUUGUAUAAUGUAGCCAUCUGCAAAACAAGUGGUGAGUUUACAGUAUCGCUACACAAUUUGGAUUGCGCGUGUGCACCAGUUGGCAGACGACUCAAACGUUGGUUUAAUUUUUGACAGUGAUCACAGCAGACGACAAAGAAAGGGAACAAAGUGUUUUUUUUCAGAAUGCUAGGAAGCAGUGUGGUUUUGGAGCAGCAGCUGACUGGCUCCUUGUUUCCUGGUUCAGAGUACAAGCUAAGUGUAUAAUGGGAGCUCUGUAAACCUUUGGGGCUGCGGUCGCUGAAAGCAGCAUUGCAGUUAACGUAAUUCGGACCAAUACCACUGUAGUACCACAUGUGGGACUUUUUCACACCUCUGGACCAAGCCGAUGGGGCCGUUAUUGAACCCGGUUAACUGACGGGGCGAGGUCUCGUUCAUGAACUCUGAAUCUGAUGUUAUUCAGGGCACCACUAUUGUCUGUAAAAAAGAUGGAGUCCGCCAGGAAAAAAUAUAUACUUCGUUUGGAUGUGGCAAUUUCAGCACUGUAACCUGUUGGUUUCCCUUAGAGCGUAAAGAGAACUCGCCACUCGUUAUAAAUUGGUGCAGAGGAUUUUCUAUGCACAGACUGUUAAGGACGUGCCUCUCGUCUGGCAUCCUCUUCCCCAGUGCCCGUCCUCCGUAUAUAUGUGUGAAGAACACAAUUCGUUCAAACUGACACUUACGCCUCUUGCCGGCACCGUUGCUUCAACCACUGUCCCCUCUGCAGCUGCGCCCGACCACGCCCAACCACGCCCCGCCACCACAAGCACAUUAGAGUGUCUUGUUUUGAAAAGAACAUAUUUGCAUAAUUGGUCAACACAAUACAUACAAAUUCAAAACUGCAAUAUUAUUUGAAACGCAUGUUUUUGUGAUUAAUCCUUCCAAAAUAAAACUGUUUUCGGCCCCAUUUCGUGUUGUAUUCUGGUUUGCAUGUCGUAGCAGCAGUUCAGAAUUUCACAAAAGAGUAAAAAGACCAGCACCUCUUUACAGUAUUACAAGUAUCAUGUGAUUAUGCGCAUGGACACCAUGCAAACUGUGUUAAGUAACGAACGUAAAGAAAGUUGCGGCAGCCAGGAAACAGGAAAUAAGGUAGGCGGUGCAGUUUGCGGAGGUACGGAGGUACUGUUCGUGGUCUUAUCCUCUUAAACCCCAAACCCCCCUAUAGAGAAGACAUGGCAAAUAACUGCCUUAAUGAAUUCACCAAUCACAAAGUUAUAUUUAAAGUCACAUAUCAAAUUAAACCGCAGGACCUGGGCUACGAGUUGAUGGAAGCCAUUUUUACCUGCUCCAAACACAAUCCAAGAACUGAAUGAAUUACCAAAUGUCAACAUUCCUAUAACGCCGCUUAGUCAUCCCACUCGCCGCAUUUCUGGCUUUAACUCUAUGACACGUUAUGCUGUAAAGGCUCAAAUUAGAUCAGAUUAAAACAGACAUAUCAGUUAUUCUUGCUAACAUCAAGCUUCUGCGAGGUAGGAGCCAAAGAACGCCAACAGAAAUCUCUUCAUCAAACAAUUGUCCAAAAUAUUCUUCUUCCUGAACUGUUUAACCACGAAAGAUAUAUAUAUAUAUUUCCCAGUAAUUCCACAUCAUUGGUUGGCAUUGGUUGGAAUGGCAGCGUAUGCUAGGGGUCUGUUUCAAGAAGCGGGUUUAGUGAAAACUCAGAGUUGGUUAACGCUGAGAUGAUGGAAACUCUGGCUUGUCUGUUUUACAAAGGGAGGUAACUAAAGCUCUGGGUCAGUCACCAUGGUAACUCAGCCUGUGAACCUGGUUGGGAGCAGGUUUUCUUCAAUGAACCUCAAGUUUCUUUCACAGUCUCCUCCCUUUGACAGCAGCCCAGCCAAUCACACAGCACGCUUUCAUUUCCUCAUUCAUUCAAAUACUCAGUCGUAUUUUAGCGCAGUAUCCACAUAUGAACAAAAAAAGAUCUCGGUUACGUUAAAGACUAAAGUGUUUUCUCGAACAUGGCACGUCCUUUUCUGGACGAUCCUGUGGAUGGAUAGUUGCAGAGAAAAAAUGGGUAUGCUAAUUCUGAGCAGAGGCCUAACAAAUGGGUGGGUCUUAAGAGGUUAACCAAUCCCUGAGCUGAAUGUAUAGGCAAGGCAAUUUUAUUUGUAUAGCGCUUUUUAUACACAAGGCAGACUCAAAGUGCUUCACAUCAUAACAUUUCAUACAAUAAAGUGAAAUAAUGUAUAGAUGACAAAUGUAUAAAAUGGCGGAAUUGCUCUGAAAUAUAUGUACAUGACUACACAAGCUACACAAGUAAUCUGUAUGAGUAAACCUUGGAAAAACUGUUACAUGCAAGCGUUGGACAAAAGAAGACAGAAAUGACAAUGUAUAAAGGAAAGUUGGCUCGCUAUAGUUGACUUAAGGGCGUGCUCUAAGUAUAACCUGAAGUGACUUUUUCAGCUAAUGCAACCUCAACAGAAGAUUUUUUAUAAAUAGCCUCUAUUCAAGUUAAAGUCUUAUGUCGGUUAUUUCUUUGUGUUUGUUCUUUUCAAUGGAGAAAAGCUAUCUGAGCUGGUUUGCAACGUCAAUGCCAUCCAAGCUCUAAAAGUGCUGAAUCUGGAGUACACAUGUGGCAAAAAUGCAGCAUUGCUUGAGGAAAUAUCCAUGUUUUCUACACUUCUAGGAUUCUAGGAAGGAAGAGAUAAACAAUUGGAGCUUUCCAAACACUGAAAUAUAUUGGAUAACCUGCCUUACUCUAAGCCAAAGGAAUUGUGUAAUGGUGUCUUUAGCCACAGAUUGUCCCACAUAUCUUACUUUACAAAGAAAGAGGGAUAAUUGUCUUUUGAGGCUGGAGUUACCAGCCAAAGUUAGAUUAUGGGUCUUUCAUUGUGAUGGUGGUGACAAGCUCGUGGCCCGAAAGAGGUAGCCAGAUGGCUUAUUUAAAGGGAAAUGUCUGGGAAGAUGAGAUGGGUUCCGCCAGAAGACUGUUAAGUGAUAGCAGCAAAAGCAUUAUGAAGGAGGGAUUUUGAGGGAGAACUUGUGCGUUUGUAUGUUGGAUAAUUAACUUUGCUGUAAAUGCGUGUGUUUGUCUCUCUGACGGUUUGUAUUUUUCCUGGCAGCUACUGUACAGCCACAAAUAUCCCCAGUGAGUGACUGAUCGAGGCCAUUAACAAACCAGUGACUGAUAAUACACAAACUCGACCGCAUUCUCUCUUCCACUUUUUUUUUUUCAGCAGAUGGUCCAUAUAACUCUACUUUAGAGUUCUCAGAGAGAGAAUGAGCGUCUUUACCUCAACUGAUGGCCGAAAAUGCGGCGUGUCGCAGCCCCAAAUUGAUGAAAGAAGUUAUUUCUUGGUCUUUCCUCUACACUGCUGGGGGUGCUGCAGACGCCUGCCCACUUAACUACUGGUCAUGUGAGCCAUUAGCCCAAAUAUUGCUUAGUAUGCUGAGCUGGACAGUGUGUGUACAAAUUACAAAUGUAAUUACAGGAUGUAAUACGUAACGUACGUUUUUGCAGUAAUGGUAAGCAAAUGACACCCUGGUCAGAAUCUGCAACAAGAGCAUUACGGUUCAAAAGGAAGAAAUUCAAUCAGGAGAGACUUCUGAAUACCAGCAUAAGUGUUAAAAGUGCAAAGUUUGUUGGGGCUUUGACUCCAUGCAGUCGUAGGAUAGACCAGGGGCCGGGAUGCCGAGAUCAGUCUGUCUGUAGUCGCUUUGCACAGCAAAAAAAGCUUAGGUGAUGGUGACAAAUCUCCGCCUGGUGUGCACAUCCCACCGCUACAAAGUACCAGAUUAGAGGGUACAGGAUGCAUUCAGCCGUCUCAAACCAAGAUCAGUGAAGAGUGCGGAGCGAGGAGUCAGCAGGCUGCCAGUGGCAGAAUAAAACAGGCAACUGUUUUGAAAAAGUCUGAUUCAUCCUAACCAUUUGGGUCUUUGAGCAGGCUGCCAUGAUGAGGGACCAUAAAAAUAUGCAGUUUUCUCCAGUUCAAUGCUAGAUCGCUCAACCGAUCGCAUGACAAUGACACAGAUUCUGAAAGAAGAUCUACCAGGAGGUUUUGGUGAGUUUUCUCCACAGUGUAAUCUUUGGCUUCUUAAGUACCUUAUAAACGUACAUAAUAUAAUUUGAACCUGCUUGUAUCUUACCCAAAUACACCGUGGGAGUUAAUUAUGCUCAUUGCCCAAAGCAAGUCUGACCUUGUGCAAUACACUGUAAAAUGAACUCAGUGAUGGUGCCAUUUCAACAAAGCUCUCCUAAAAUGAUAGUUUACCUUAGUUACCCAACUCCGUUCAAGCAUACAGAAGGAAAGUACUCAACGGGAUCUAAUCUCCCCUUAGUAAACCCUGUUAACCGAUGUCAGUGUGGAAACCUGUUCGCAGCAUACAGAGUGGCACAAAAAUGCUGACAGGAGUCCUAAAAUAUUUUCAUCCUUAUUCCAUGAGAUAGUUCAAACAUUCAUCGUGUGUUGUGUUACUUCAGUCACCAUAACAGAAAAAUUAUCUCUGUUUCCUACCACGACAUCUUCUUCUGUCAUGCCUUGUGGUUUCCCUUAUUUCUAAUAAUCACUUUCAAAUCAUUUUUAUUUUCAUAUUUUGUAUUAUUCAUUGUGUAGUUCUCCUUUCUAAAGUCUGGUUCAUAUUACAAACCAUCAUGCUAUUUGGAUCACUUUAUUGUAUUCAGCCAAUCUCAAGCACAAUGAGUGUAAUGCUGCAGCACACCACAGGGAAUAAAGUAGUGGUCUGACCCUGUUUUUCCUCAUGUUUGUUGUUUGCUGUUGUCUUUCGAAAAGGCUCCUAGGCUGGAUGUCCGGCUGUAUUAUUCUGUUUUGAAGCUUUAAUCAAGUGACUUAUGUCAAUUUUUCUGAAUAUGCCCCCUGAGUUGACUAAAUCUCAGUAAACACCAAUUUAGUUUAUUUCAACAAAACAUGAAGUGUUGGCAAAUUAACUGAUUGUGUACUCAACUUAAACAUGUGAUUUGUUAUAUUUCUUUUGACCAGACGUUUAAGUCUUUGUUUAAUGCUGGGAUUUAAUGUGCAACGCUUAUAUCAGUGCAGGGCAAGCAGAAGAAGAUAUCCUCUGGAUAAUGAGAAGCAGAAGAUAGAGCAGCUUAAUCAAGUGAGGACUGCUUUUUUCGAUAUGUGGGUUAGGGCUCAUAGAGUGGCAGCGAUUGUUCCUCAGUUCCUGUCCUGCAGAAUGUCGUAAGUCUCCUUGUUAUUUGCUAAUUUUAAUACGUGUGUGUGUGUGUGUGUGUGUGUGUGCGUAUGUGAUAUCUGUCACACACACCGCCAGGUCUGAAAGCUAAUGCAGAUGCAAAUGGCCAUCCCGGGGCGAUUCCUCUUCCUUUCGCUUUCUGCCAAAAGAGGUCUGAAUGUAUAGAAUCCUUUUACUUACAUGAGUUUAUGGGCUCAACUUCUAGUUUCAAUUCUUCCACUUUGUAAUUCAAGGUACCCACAAAGUUCUCUGGUUUGGGAGCUAUCCUGGGUUUCGCCUCCGAACAUCUGCCCUUAUUUUUUAGUGUAUGGAAUUGAAUUGUAACAAUUUGAUUCCGUUUGCAUUGGCCAACAGCCAACUCUUUUUAAACACAUUACUAACAUGAACUUGGAAACAUAUUUGUUUUAAGUCUGUUGCGUUGUCUUCCUUGUAAACAGAAGGAUUGAACAACAACUUGUCCUUUUAAAAAUGACAACAAUGAUAAAAAAUGUAAGUGUAUAAUAAAAAGGUUAUAUAGGAUUCUCUGGCAAUUGGGCCAUUUGAGGCAACUGGGGUUUUCACAGGACAAACAAUGACAAGACUAGUAAGCACAGAAAUAAACAGAUUUAAGAGUGUGUCUCAAUUUGCUCAAAGUCAAUGCAAAAUAAUUUCAGCUUCAAUUUGGAGAAAAACUCCACCAAGUUUUGAAAGUGCAAUGGCUCUCAAGAGUGAUGAAAGAAAGCUCUCUCGCUAACUAGUUGGAUGCAAAUUUAAGUCAUGCUUUGGCUUCUGCUGGUUUUAAUGACACAUCAACAAUGAAGAUGAAAAUAAAGCAGCCAUGCUUGAAAAGACAAUAAAAUCUAAAUACUUUCAAGAAGAGAUUGUAUGGAAAAAAGGAAGUAAUCAUGAGUGGUCCGAAAUAGUACAGCGGCAAGGUGAUGAUUAUGUGUGUCCUCAUCCCUCUUUCGUCUUUCAUUCCUCAGGUCGGCACUACCUCCGUCUGACGGACCAAACGCUGCCGGGGGAAAAACAGCAUGCACACCAGGGGACGUCAUGCCAUCUACCGGUAAGUGGCGAUGGAGUGAUGGCCUGUGAAAGUGUGAGUUUGGGGUCAGGAGUGAUUUUAUAAGUGUAGUGGAAGCUAAGUUAGUCAAAGAGUUACCGUGACCCCACCUCUGUUUCUUGCUAAACAUCGACACAACAGCAUACAAAGUAAUUUAUGGGCUGAUAGUAAGAUGUCAAUUGGCUUUUCACUCAAACUGCACUCGAAAACAUCCCAUAGAAUAUUCAAAAACCAGUUAAUUUAUAAAGGCGAUUCAUACAUUUAAGCCAUGGUUGAAAACAAAUAUUAUGCUGCCGACAGUGAGUGACAUCAGAGCUGUCAUGUUUGUUAUUUUCUCUUCUGUCAUUAUGAUCUCUUUCUCUCUUAAGAGGCGACGUGUAGGGUCCCUAACGUUGGUCGAGUCAGCAGAAUGGGGUGAGGGGGGGGUGUGACUUCCACUCUCUGGUGGAAACCGACUGAUAUCUGAUUCAGAACUGGGUUGAAUUUCAGAUUUUAGAGAAGAGAAAGUAUACAGCUUCAUAACUUUAAACUUUGUAUAGUUGAUACCAACAUGAAGCGACAGCAGUUUCUUUACAAAGACAGCCAAUGCAAUAAUAACAAAAGAUUUGACAUAUGUUUUUGAUUCGAACAUAUUUCAGUCACAGUAUAAAUUUAUGUUUUGCCGAAAAUUAGGCGUCUCCCAAAGUACCAGCUGUGUCAGUUCUUCGGCUUUGUUUUCAUCUUUGUGACUUAUUGUCCCCGCAAAAUCUGCCAAGACUUUGAUAUUUGUCUCAGAAGUAUGAAACAAGAUGUAUUUGUUUCAAAAUAAAUGUUGACAUAUGCUGCGGUGAGUGUCCAGGCAAUCUAGGGUAUAUUACGUAUAUUACUCAGGAUCUGCUUUGGUGACACAAGAAACAUAUCCAUGCAGUUUUCAUAGUGUACUAGAUCUGCUUUUGUGUUUCUUUGGUUGUCCUAAACUACACUUUCUCUGCCUCAGUUUGUCUGCAGUUUGACAAGUUGAAAUGUCUGAUGAAGAUUACACACACACACACACACACACACACACACACACACACACACUGUCUAACUGUCUAAAACCAACAGUGAACAAAUUGAAACUUCUUGAACCUGAAGGCCUCGGUGUUAUGUGCGCAUGUCAUAGGAUCACACAACCUUUUCAUGUUGGAUUUAUGGUAUUUCCAGCCCAAAACAUUUUUUCCUACGAAAAUGGUGUUAAAAGGUGACAAAUGAUGGGGGGUUUAAACUCUUAGUUAUAAUUAUGGCUGUCAAUAGAUAAAAAACAAAUUCAUUGCACAUUCAUUAAUGCAAUUAAAGGUUUUUCUUCUAAAGAAGCGUGUAACACUGUUGUUUAACUGUAUUUUAAACACAACACUACACACAUUUGAUCAUCUUGGUGGCAGAAUUCCACCGGGUGGAACAUGUUGAACUAACGACUCUUCCUGCUGUUCUCGUGCACUGCUCCCAACUCUCCAUAAUUUAACGGCUGUGUUUGAAGUGCCAACAAUCUCCCCAAAUUUAGCCAGGACGUUUUUCAAACCACUUUUCUUUUGUAAGACACUUACAGGGACACAGUGGUGCUUUUCUGCACACCGUGUGCCGCGCAGAGUAGAUAUUGAGACGUAAGUAGCCUAGGAGCUAGCUUUGCCUAGCAGUGCCAAAUGUAUUGCCAGCCACUCACCCCCCUUCUGUUUAACGUUACCGUCUCACUCUCUCCUGUCUAACUGACUGCAGCUAGAGGCGGUUUCGUUUACAAAGUUACGAUAACUGAGUUAGAAUAUUUUAUUGAAUUAAUCUAUGACACAUUAAUCGCAUAGAUUAACAUGUUCAUUUGGACAGCCUUAGUGGUGGGGUACUUACGAAGAAUGUAUGAGGUGCACUCCAGAUUUCUACAAGUUUUUUACAAGUAAAAAGAACAGAGGAGAUUGGUUGAACCACUUCCAUUUUAUGAUCUUACAGUGCUAUAAACAAGGGUGGAUUGCUGUGACCAAUGUAGAGUUGAGUUCAAAGUAGCCAUUCUUUUAUGUGCAAACACAGCCUACAUCGGAGCCUCCACUGAAACCAAUGGAACUGAGGUAGAGAGAGAGAGAGGAUGACUCAGGCUCUCCUUCCUUUUCAUCCAUCCAUCUAUCUAUCCCUCCAUCUGGUUCGCGUUUGUGUGGAUGUCUCUCAUCCUGCAGCUCCUUCACCAAUAAACCACAGUUCCUCCGUCACCCCUCCCCAGCAGCAUGAUGCUGGUUCCAACAAGCAGAGGUUCUCUGUACAUGAGGUAGAAACAUGUGUUGCUGAAGAUCACAACCUCCCUGAGAUACACUAGAGUGGAAGGACCGUUGGCAUACAUCUGGAUGGAACAGAACACGUUGUUCUGUCUGGGAGAAAUAAUCUGAUUACUGUGGCGAUAAAGAUGGCUAAAUUAAAUGGGCCUGGAUUCAUGGUGAAAUACACAAGGCUUUGGUUUGUAUGCAGCCCGGGUUGGGAUAGCGGCUGACAGUUCAUGGCUUGAGAUGGGAUUAGAGCAGGGGAAAAUGUACCCAUUAUUUUACUGGGGCUUGGGACCCUCUAGUCGGGGGGAAGAACCUGGCUCAAUAACUCAUGCAUCACAUUGUCUAUGGAUGUCAACGGGCUUGGCACGAGCUGCACAGCGACGGUUCUGACGGAGUGCGCUAUGGGGAAUGACGCAGUAGCUCAUCGAUCAUACCCGCUUCCAAAUGCUGUCGAUAGGCCACUGUGCUGAGGACAGGAGCUUAGGCUCAGACUCAUUAAAGUCACCUGGCUAGACACCAGAAAAAGCAUCACUGAGGUUGACGUAGUUUGUCCUAAAUGACAGAUGGCGGCAGACUGAGAUAUGUGUGUCAUUCGGUUGGUUGACGCUCUGGGAUUGUCUUGCUUUUGCAGCUUAACCCUUUGAUACUUGCCUCUUGCUUUUUCUGUGCUCAGUGAAAUAUUUUAAAUCUUAAACUUCUAAAGGUAUAUUCGGACGUAAAGCAAAGUAUUGUUUUGCACAAAUUUGACCAUUAGACCACUUUCUUAGCUGCAUGUCUGUAGUAGAAGAUUGUUUAUAGAUAGCUUAGCCUGUGUUCCCCCAGUCUCACUCCCCUCCUUCUCUCACCUCAGUUCAUUCAUGAAGGCGAUUCAUACAUUUAAGCCAUGGUUGACAACAAAGAUUUUAGAUAUUUUGCUGCCGGCAGCUUCUUUCUAAUGUAAUUUAUUUGAUUGCCCAAUUUAGGACUAACGUCAUCCAUUGCACCUUCUUAGCCAAUUUAGUUCUGUCUUUCAUUGAGAAUUUUGGUAAUCAAUAAAAAUGUAAAAACUCUUCGGAGUUAGUUAGCAAAAUUUCCGUCCAUAAAAGGUUAAAAGAACAGACUUGGUGUCUAAAGGCCUUUGCUCCUUAGAGCUGAAUAAUCAUCCAUGAAUUGUUUUAAGUACAUAACAUUGUUCUACUGAUAAGUACAGAUCUCUUUUCACAACAUUGUUAAUUAGACUUCUUUCACUUUAGAACUGAUUUCAUUCUGUAUUGUUAUCUCUCUCUAUUAGUCAUUGGAAAACCACCAGAAACUGCUAAGUGAUGCAACGUGACUCUGUAUGGUGUAGGUUUGCCAAAAUAUACACACUCUAAAAAAUGUCACUGUAAAUUAAUGGUAUUUUAACGGCAGAAAGGACGCCAGGAAUUUACCGUUAUUUUACGGUAUAAUGUUACCGUAUACUUGAACCAAUUUUACUGUGAAUUAACUGCAAUUUACUGGCAGUCGACGCUAGUAACUUACUGUUUUAUUUACAGUGCCCUACCGUAAUAUACGGUAUACGAUUACUGUUUUUGUGUUAUAAAUACCAGAAUGUUACUAUUUACUUAUAACCGUAUACUUUUGCAUUUAAUUCCCCAUAAAUUAAAGAAAGACAACCAAACUCAUUUCGGUCAUAGCAGUUGGAGUUUAUUAGAUGCCUUUAAGAUAAAAAUGUUAGGCAUUUGUAACCAAGAACAAAACAUGAAAUAUGCCGCAUGUAUACAAUAAUAAAAAAAAUAAUCAUAAAAUUAUUAGGAACAAGGUAAACUAACUGCAACAAUACGCUAUGGAACACGCUAUGGUCAAUUGACCGCAGCAAACGGCUGGCGUCCUUAAUCAAGUGCCUCUGUAAAACAAACCAAAAUAAAAUAUUUAGAAACACUGUCAUUGGUAAAAUAUUAAAAUGACAAAGAUGAGGAAGACAACAAAAUGUAAGGAAAGAGAAUGUCAAUCAUGCUAGGCAAAUAACACUUACCAACGUUAUUUGGAGAGACGAGGCAAUGAGAAACUCUUCCGAUGUUGAACUGCACUGGUGUUCUGGAUGAACUGAGAUUAUGCGAAUUACACGUUCAGGAGCAGUCGGUCACGAUUAACACUCAAAUCACUUUUAGGCAAUGAAUACUUUGAAUAAUACAAAUAUUUACAAUCUUUACAUUCCGGCUAGUGAAAUGACAGUGAAGGUGGUGCAUGGGAUAGGGAGGGUGUGCUGUGCAGCAUAAGGUCGCCGGUUCAAAUCCUGGCUACUCCCUGUGCCAAGUCAAAGUCUCCCUGAGCCGGACACCUAACCCCCAAUUCCUCCACAUAAAUUAUCUCAAACCAUGGGCGUUUUUGAUAAAAGUGACAGCUGCAUGUAUAGUAAUGUCCUGUAAAUUAAAGUCAUCAUUGUAUCUCAUGAGAUACUAUCUCAUUAUGAUGACUUACAGGACCUGUUUUUCAGUGGCUGACAUGGGCUUCCAUACAUUAACCUACAACAGAUGUAGAUGGAUUGUGAUUCACUGCACUUGUAUGUGUAUUUCCACCACUUCAUAAAAUAAAUGUAACAUGCAGUUGAAUUAUGGUAGUCUGCGAUGUAAAUUGACAGCUUUAACUGUUUAUUCAUGACAUUGGCCGUUAAUUGACAAGCAAGGGAUGGAAAUUUAACUGUAUGUUACAGUUAUAAUGACAUACCGUUAGAUAUGUUAUUAUAACAUAGAUAUAGAUAUAGAUACCGUUAGAAAUGCACCGUAAAUUUACAGCAAUUUGUUACAGUGCACCAAUGUAGUCAAAUAAACAGGGGUUUGGUCACUGACUACAUGACAACAUUACACUUGUAUUACCAAGUUUGCGAUUGCUGGAGCUUAAGUGUAAAAAUGUUUUUAACCCAAAGGUAAAUAAGAAGAACAAUCAUAUAUCAUAGUAUAUGCUAAUACUAGCUGUGAAUGCCAAGCAAAGGUAGUCACAUUUUAAAGGGUUAACAAAGAGUGCAAGUUGUUACACAGCACAAACAUUUUAAUCAAUUGCAGUUCAUAAAAUUUGCAUCAACUUUUAAAGAGGAAGAAAACAUCCACCACACUGGAUGUUUUGGUUCACCACCAACAUUUAUCCUCCUCAUUCAACACAACACGGUUGAACAUGAUUACCCAUUUGAAACAGGCUCAAGUACAAACUUUACCAGAAGUUAUAUAACACGUCUGCACUUUUUACUCCCACGCAGUGUCAUUUAUUGUAAUAUGCUGGCGAUAUUUCUGCUUUUUUUCCCCACAUACUUUUCAUCCAAAACCCUUUUAAAACUGUAUUUACCUUUUAUUAUCCCCUCACAAACAUGAAUCAAAGCAAGCUUUUCCUUCUGUUACAACAUUAUCAUUGACCACUUUCUACUUCUCUACCUUGGUGAAUCAAAAAUGUUCACAGUAUUGUUUGGUAGAAAGGGGCCGGGUUGUGUAAAUGUUCCAUAAGGGAAAGCUACAUUCUUCUUAGGAGCUAACUUUAUGCUAAGAAAAUGCUUUUUUUCAUCCCUAGAGAAUUUUCUCCAUUAGUAUGUUGAAUUUGGCUAGGUCGGAAUGAUUUCAUUUGAACUGCAUCAAAUGCCGGUUCAGUCCACUGCCGAGCAAACGGCACUGAGGUCCAUUUCAAUUGGAAUCUUAACCAACAGCAGUAAAAAAAAUAUUCCGGGUUUUAGAAGGUGGAUGUUGGGAAACGAAUUGCCAGCAGUUAGAGAUAAGAUAAUAAUAAGAACAUGAACUGAGGGAAAACCGCAGUCUGGAGGGAUAAUCAUGCGUUUUUUUGCCACUGUUUUUUUAAGCUGGUACUCAGACCGAAGUCAGUCGGUCUGAUAAAAAGCGCUGAGUCUUUGAAACUAAUUGAAGGUUUCUUACGAAUAGAGCAGGAUGUUUCAUGUGGAAUAAGUCAAAUGAUCUCAACCGACAAGUUUUAUCCCUCUGACAAUGGGUCAGGACACUAUGCGUUGAGCCACAAUUUAGGAUUUUAUUCAAAUCCCCCCUUUUAUUGCAUGGGAACAGCUAUUGUGUUUAUGAUCUGAGCUUGGCCGCGACGUGGAGUCCGAGUGUGUGAAUGCAAGUGUGUUUGGGCUGGAUGGGGUUGGCAAGUGUCUGUGAGGAGGGGAGCUAAGCCCGGUUUGAUGACAUCUUCAUUGUGAGUGUGAUCGGUAUCGCCCUCUCUCCCUACAUACACACACACAGGCGGGGACUUAGCUCACAUACCACCCAUGAACAUGUCGUCUGUCUCCCACCCAAGCUGCGAAUGAAGCCAUCAUAAAUAAAAGCGCAUUAUUGCUUGACAGAGACGCGUUGUCCAAUACGGUUGCUCUUUUCUGGCGUCCCCACGCUGUCGCUCUUCCUGGGAGUCUUGGUUACCAAAGCAACUUGUGCAUAAGUGGGAUUGAGUCAUGUUUUUUUUUGGGCCCCCCGAAGUUUGACAAGCCUCUAUGUUUUUAAUGCUAAACAAACAUCUUGAUUUACAUGCAGAGGGAAAGGGACAGGGGGGGGCACGGUGUGUGUGUGUGUGUGUGUGUGUGUGUGUGUGUGUGUGUGUGUGGUGAUUGGGUGCAAGGUAAAACACCGGUGAAACCAUGCUAAAGUUAAGAUGUUUCCCUUUUGAAGUUGUAAUCGGUUGGGUAUGACCACACUCGUGGGUAUAAGUGUGCACAGAGAGAUGUUAUACACACACACACAUAUACACGCUUCCCGGCCCUCUCCUCGGAUGAGCCAAAGUUUGCUCUUCCCAUGGUGCUUUGUGCUCGGGCGCUAUCCCAGCCUCACCGCUUCCCUGUGAACUCCCACAACUUCAUCAAAGAGGAAUGAGGGGACCAAGGGAGAGCAGCGGGGGGGAAAAAGGGAGAGAAAGAGCUCUAUUUUCCUAAUCACAUCCCCAUGGGAUUUGAGCUGCAGAGGUGAGGGCGAAGUAAACAAUUUUAUUGGUUGUGUGUUUUUGUGGUGUUUUUCUUUCAUUCCGUGGCCUCUUUUGUUUCAAGCUGCUUCUUUUCUUUGCUGAGGAUGAGAGUGUUGAUUAAUUCAGAUCCCCUCCCAUGCUACUCCCCACUCUCUCUUCUGUUUUGGGAAGAUUCCCCAUGGUAAUUAAUUCACAGCAGAAUUAAUUAGAGUGAAGGGGAGGGGGGAACUAGAGGGGAAGGAGUGCAAAUAUAUCUAGGUAAAGAAAAGUGAUGACGGGUGACGCUGAAAAAUAGGGAAAGGAGAGUAAAGGGGAAAUGGGUUUUUAAAAAAUAACAUUUUUGACUUCAGCAUAGCCUCUGUAACUGUGUCAAACAAGCUGAAAGAAAUAAUAGGUCCAAAUUAGGUUUGCCCUGAGCCCAGUGGCACUCUGCUGAGCCUUGCUGCAAUGUGAGAUGGGGGAGAUGGGGGAGACGAGGGGGAAGAUGAGAGAUUUAGAUAGAGGCUGACUAAUGGAAAAUGGUGCCUCAGUAUAUGAAUUAUGUCUGAAAGAUGAGAGAAUAAAAAAGUUUACUCUUACUCUAAACUCAAGCAAGCACUUUUCCAUUUGUAUUCCACUUCGAUGCCAGUUUAAAUGAAUGCGGAUGACUUGAUUGAGGCCGUAACGAAUCUGCUGGAACGGCAUGCCUCUCAGCUAAUUGGCUAACUGUAUUAGGGAAUUGCAAUGUGCAUAUUCAUUUUCUCAGGUACAUUAUUUUCACCCACUGGCAGAGGUGUCUCUUUUCCUGCUUCCGCCCCUCUGUCCUCCCCCCUUUGCCCCUCUGCCACAAUCUCACCUCUGUUUCCUUCAGAAGCUUUUACUCUCACAAACAUCCUUUUUUCCACUCUCACGUAUGCUUUCUCAAUCACCCCGGUUCUUUCGCUGGGUUUAUUAUUCAAGCUCUCCUGCAGAUACAUCUGAGGUAGAGCGCACAUUGGCAACGUUUGCUGAGCUGCUGUUGCAGGUUUAACUUGGUCCUGAUAAGGAUAUUUAUUACAGCUUCCUUUGCGGUGUAUCUCUGGGCUGUAGUUGGUCAAGAGGCACUUGAGGGAAAAAUAAAAAGGAACUCUGUGUCAUGAUCUGACUUGGCUUUGGAGGUGUGGUUUCAGACUGGGAGAGCAGGUUUCCCUGGUUACCUGGGCGGAGUCUGGUGGCUGCCUGCUGUCACACCUAUACUGUAUUUACGAUCGUCAGGAACCCCUCUUAAGGAACAGCAGGAGCACCAGUCUUCGCCAGAUCGUUUUGCCUUCCUAGUGGUAACUUGGCCACCUCUCACCCGAGAUUGAUUUUCAAAGGAAAGAGUUUUUUGUUGCAUUGACUUUUUUUUCGUGUUUCAGUCCCAUCCCAGCCUGCUUCGCCGGAACCUGACGGAUUCCCCGGCUUCCCCUCUCGCCCUCCGCGGCUUGGGAGAACUCCUCAAGCCAGUCGGAUCAUUACCUCUCCCUCCAGCGUGGAUUCUAUCUACCGCACCGCUCCUGCCGCCAGCUCCAGGAACACCACUCCCUUCCACCACAAUGUGCGAGAAUGACAUGUUAACCUAUUGCAUUCGACUGUCUUCCACUUUGUCUGAUGUAAGAAAACAGGUUGUAGCUGCACUUCCGAGAGAAGCAACGGGUCCACUACACCGACUGCAACCAGGUGACUUCGUGGUGGUGAAGGACUUCAGGAGGAAAAGUUGGAAAGCUAAACGGUGGCAGGGUCCAUUCCAGAUUCUCCUGGUCACCCAAACAGCGGUCAAGGUACCUGAAAGGGCGACUUGGGUCCACGCAUCCCAUUGCAAGAAGGUUCCAGAUCCAGUACCAGCAGUGGGCUCAGGCGACCCUACCUCCACAACAAGUGUCAAUCAACCGACACCACCGAUCCAGUGACCACGGACAGGCAGUUGACCGACAGACACACAGUGCAUUGUGAUCUGUGUUGACUGUCUACAACACGGGUGCCUCACAAGAAAGAAGGUUGGCAGACUCCACAUCCCAACGUGUACCUGCGGACCAACACAAGAAGAAGAACACGGCCAGGACCCCUCCACAUAGACACAGUAGUCGUUUGUGCCACGACAGUUUUUUAGGGAGUUUUUGUUCUGUGGCAGGCAAAGUUUUGUGAGCGAUGUUCAGAUGUUCAUGUUUGUGAUAUUUGAUGGAUGAACUAUUUAAGUCUCUCUGCUGCCAAAAUAAAAAAAUUGUAUCCUCUGAAUCCUGCUUUUGAGUUCAACCCUCGUUCUGACUAUCACCCGAUGACAUUAGGAUCUGGCCAAACGUGGACUCGGCGGAUUCAUUUCAUUCAGCCUUAUCCCACCAGGGACUGGUCUUGGGAGAGCAUGAUAAGGCUCUCCGAUCACUAAAUUACCAACAGGGACACUGUAACCAACGUUUGGACCAAGUUCUCGAGAUGAUUGUGAAAAUGAAUGAUCAUCUGUCUACUCUCUCCACAGUGUCUCCUGCUGACGGAAACCCACCUAUGCCACCUCAAGUCCCGGUGCCCCCCACACCUCUGGCUGAGCCUCAGUUCUGGAACAUCACCUUCCCUACUCCUGACUCCUAUGCUGGUGACAUUGGUGGUCUCCUUCCGUGUACUCUUGCCAUGACUCAGUCUCCUCGCUCCUUCCCCUCGGAUUCAGCAAAAAUUUCUUUUGUGAUUGGCCUUCUUAAGGACAAAGCCUUAGCUUGGGCCUUGGCCUUCUCCAGGACCAACACCCUUGAGUCUUAUCCUUUCGCUGACUUGUUGAGAAAUUUCGUACCACUUUUAAUAAUCCACUUGGCCAUAAUAACGCCUCAAAGCGCUUAUUAAUCUUGCGGCAGGGAAAUCAAUCCGUCGCAGACUUUCUCAUCGAGUUUUGUAUUCUCUCUGCAGAGACAGGUUUGGGUUCAGAUGCCCUAAGAGGUAUCCUGUUGAAUUCGCUCAAUGAUCAAAUUAAGGAACAACUAACGUUCCGUGACGAACCAGCCUCAUUCGAAGAAUUAGCUUCAUUAGCAGUCAGGGUCGACAACCGCAUCCGAGAACGUAGGAAGGAGAGGGACUCAAACUCCCAUAAACCAUUACGCGGUUAUCCUCCGCCGAACUCAAAUUUCCCUUAGCCCCUGCGUGAGCACGGCCCUCGUGAGGCCUAUCUUCCACCGCUGCCUGCCGUUUUUCCCCCUGGUUCCUGUGUGUUUUUGGCCUUUUGACUAUUAAAGUCUUUUGUUUUCCGUGAAGUCUGCAUUUGAGUCCUGCCUCCUCCACGCAUCCCUUGACAGAAUGAAGCGACCAAAGAAGGGCUCAGCAGACCUGCUGCCAGAUUACGGACCUGAGUACUUGGACGUAAGAAGUCCAUUCUGGCGGCGGAAAACCAAUUUCAUCUUCGGUCCCAGGGGCUAUCAGCUCGCCUGCCUCGAGCUCCGGGAUCUUCUAAAUCCCAGGAGGAGCCCUGGCCAGAGGAAGCACAGACUUCCCGCUGGGCCGCCGCAGCGAUCUCCCGUUCCCGCUGGGCCGCCGCAGCGAUCUCCCGUUCCCGCUGGGCCGCCGCAGCGAUCUCCCGUUCCCCGACUUGGUCCUCCGACCCCGAGACUCUCAGCCCCGACCCCGACUCGGCCAGUCCCCGCUCCGAGACUCUCAGCCCCGACCCCGACUCGGCCAGUCCCCGCCCCGAGACUCUCAGCCCCGACCCCGACUCGGCCAGUCCCCGCUCCGAGACUCUCAGCCCCGACCCCGACGCCCCCAGACCCCGCUCCGAGACUCUCAGCCCCGACCCCGACGCAAUCCAUAAUCCACACAUUCACUGGGCUAGCCAAAGAAUUGAGAGUUGGUGUCACGGUGUGGUUCACUUCCUGUUGUAUUUUGUAGUUUUCUGCCACUCGUGUCCCCGGGUAACUUCACUUCCUGCCUUGUCCAGUCAUCCCCUGUGAUCGUCAAAUAGUUUCCACCUGUGUCCAAUCACCUGCACCUCCCUUGUGUAUGUAAGCAGUGUGUCUCUUGUGUCACUUGUCGCGUCAUUGUCUAUUGUCGUGGAUGUCCGUAGUUUCCUGCCUGCCGUUUUUCCCCCUGGUUCCUGUGUGUUUUUGGCCUUUUGACUAUUAAAGUCUUUCGUUUUCCGUGAAGUCUGCAUUUGAGUCCUGCCUCCUCCACGCAUCCUUGACAGUUGGAGCCUACAUUGCUUGUCCUCAUGUCUUCGCUCCGCGUCACCCGUCACCAACCAGGCCAACAAUCCGCCAGAAUCUCCGGUCAACCUAUCCAACAUACCUGUGGAUUAUCAUGAUUUAAGUUCUGUAUUUAGUAAAGACAAGGCUCUCUCUUCCUCCACACAGACCUUAUGAUUGCGCUAUCGAUCUGCGUCCCGAUGCUCCGUUACCUUCCAGUCGCCUGUUCAAUCUAUCCCGUCCUGAGAGGAUGGCGAUGGAGACAUACAUUCAAGAGUCAGUGACCGCCGGUAUUAUACGCCCCUCCUCGUCACCAGUUGGAGCUGGUUUCUUUUUUGUUGCCAAAAAGGAUAAGAUACUUCAUCCCUGUAUUGACUACCGUGGCCUUAACGAGAUCACUGUUUAAAUCAAAUACCCCCUACCGCUCAUCUCCUCCGCUUUCAAGCCCAUACAGGGAUCCACCAUCUUUUCCAAACUAGACCUCCGCAACGCUUACCAUCUGGUGCGCAUACGUCAGGGUGACGAAUGGAAGACCGCUUUCAACACCCCGUUAGGUCACUUUGAAUACUUGGUGAUGCCCUUUGGUUUAAUCAAUGCCCCAGCUACUUCCUCCAUAAGUAUGUUUUUGUUUAUCUGGACGACACUCAUUUUUUCUCGUUCUCUGGAGGAUCACAAGCACAUGCACGUUCGAGCUGUACUACAGAGAUUGCUGGAGAAUCGCCUUCAUGUUAAGACUGAGAAGUGUGAAUUUCAUACCCCCUUCCGUGUCAUUCCUGGGUUAUAUUUUCGAGGGUGGGCAGGUGAGAACAGAUCCUCACAAAAUUAAAGCCGUGGCUGAGUGGCCUGUUCCCCCCUCGUAAAGACCUACAACGGUUCUUGGGGUUCGCAAACUUUUACAGUCGGUUCAUUCGCAACUAUAGUCAGGUUGCUACCCCUCUCACUCGCCUAACUUCUACGAAACUGUCAUUCCUGUGGUCUCCUGAGGCUGACGCCACGUUUGCGACCCUCAAGAGCCGCUUCACUUCAGCCCCUAUUCUCAUCCAGCCAGAUUCCGAGCGACAGUUUGUGGUGGAGGUAGACGCCUCUGAUUCUGGGCCGUCUUAUCCUAGAGAUCAGAGACCGAAGGGAAGAUGCAUCCAUGCGCCUAUUUUUCACGUAAACUGUCACUGGCUGAGCAGAACUAUGAUGUGGGCAACAGAGAGCUACUGGCGGUAAAAUUAGCUCUGGAAGAAUGGAGACACUGGCUGGAGGGUGCUAAAAAUCCGUUCGUGGUCUGGACCCAUCAUAAGAACCUGAUCUUUCUCAGAGAUGCCAAGAGGUUAAACUCCAGGCAGGCACUAUUCUUCGGGCGAACUUCCCACUUACUUAUUGACCAGUCACCCGCAACGUAAAGCCGGAUGCCCUCUCUCGUCUGUACUCCACUAGCUCUCCGGACACCCCCGACAAUAUCCUGCCUAGUACCUGUGUUUUAGGUGUGACCUGGGCCGUAGAGGACCAGAUCCAACGAGGUCUGAACAACGACCCUGGCACUGGGCCUCCUAAUCGCCGAUACGUUCCGAUACGUGAUACGUGCCGCCUGGAUCCCUGUGCCUCUCUGCCUCUCCAGCAUCUUCCCCGGCCAUGGAUCCCGAAUGAACUAUUUAAGUCUCUCUGCUGCCAAAAUAAAAAAAUGUUAUCCUCUGAAUCCUGCUUUUGAGUUCAACCCUCGUUCUGGCUAUCACCCCAUGACACUCUGACUGUAAUAAACCCCUCCAAUCAUUUCCCUUGAUCCCAAUGUAAGGUUUGUACUACCUGCCUGCUUACCUGAACACUGCUUUUUUCAUUUGGAUAAAUGUAAUGAAUCGUAGUGCACACUUAUUGGUUGGUCUAAUGUUGAAGGAUCACAUUUUGUGAAAUAAGCAUUAUAGCUUGAUGUAAGAAUACCCGUUCUGAAUGGGUCCAUCACCACAACCUAAUGAAAGAAACGGAUUGAGGAAGAAAAAAACAAAUGCAGGGUAUCGUCAAGCCCAUUUUAGGAAUGCAUAUGCUCUCUAGUAGUUUGAAUGCAUGUUAUUGCAUAAUCGGAAGUUUUUAUUUUGCAUAGAAACUAUUGCUGUGAAGCAUUUCAUGCUGUGUAAAAGUCUUUGUCAGCAGUUUUUAAAUCCUGAUCAAGAUUCAUUUUCCCAUCGAAGGAGAGGUGAAACCUGGUCAGCAACUGUAGAUUACCUGAGACAGGCGAGAUGAUGAUCAUUUGUAUAUCAUCAACUUUAGGGCUAAUUGAUGUUCAAAUGGUCAAAUUCUAGAAGUAUAGCUUUAAAUCUUUUUCAAACUAUAUUUACCAUCAAUUUAUUUUUUUUAUUUCAGUGUUUUGGUCAUUCUGGUAAAGCACAGCAUGGGAACAAAUGAAAGAAUAAAGAAGUACAAGCCUGCGGUAUGUCGAACCUUACUAAUUCAACUUCCAGCAAGCCCUUCUGCCCUCACCUCUCCGCGUCUUUGUCUGCACAGCCCUUAGAAAUGUUGGCCUAAUGGAACUACAGGCUGUUGUGUGAUCACCAUCGAAUGUCUGGUAAGUUCUGAGGGAGCAAUCUGCCUCGUCAGUUUAUAAUCGAUUCAAGAGAGGUUUGGUGGAGCAAUUACACCACAUGCAAUGGUGGGAAUACGGUGUUGUUUCUGCGCACUGGUGUCCUCUUCUCUGAAAAAACAUUUGCAAAGCGCUUUGGAGGUGCUACAUUUUGUUUGUCAGUCCACCUCUUGUGUUUGAUCUUCCUCAUUAGGUUUCCAAACCUUGUCUGCGAUGUCAGUGUUUCCCACCUCUAAACUUUACCUUGUGUCCACAUUGUGACCAUGUAAACUUACUUCUUGUCAUGUAUCAGUGUGUUUGCUCGGCCACUGUGUGCCUAGAUAGCGUUGGUGUAAAGCGAUAAGGCUAAGUGAAUGAUUCCCUCUGGUAAAUGGAGGGAAGCGGUAGACGGAGCAGAGCGCAGGCAACCAGCCAUGGGAAUCUGGAUAAUCCAUUCUGCUGUAUUAACGUCAUUAAGAGAGAGAGGGAGAGCAAGUGAGUGAUGCAAAGGAGGGACCGAGAGGCCGUUUUAGUGGGUGGAUGGAGAUUUCAGAAGUUGGUUCAGUGGUUCAAAAAUAAAGCAUUACAGUGGUGAGAAAUAAUAACGAAAACCUGCUUCUCUCAUGCAUUUAUCCUGUCAAGUCACUGCAUGCACCAACUGGUUUAAAACAUUAGAGAUGAAGGAGCAGCUUAAAGGUCUCACUUUUGUCCUGCAUCGUUUUUUUGAUCUGACCCUUUUGUACCAGCAAUGCGUCUUUGAGCUAGUUUACGUAACUAUACCGAAAACCACAAAAAACAGUGUCGGUUCUACUUCUAUGGUCCCAUCUUAACAGGUACUGGUCUAAUAUGCUUUGGAUGAAAUAAUCUGUUGCAGCUCCUGCCAACUGGCACUGACGACUGAUCUAAUUAAGCGUAACACCUGUGAUGUGGCAACUGACUUGCCGUUAAACUUGGAUUCAAUCUGUUCACUCACUGAAAGACCUUUAUUAGAAGCUGCUGAUUGAGGAACCGUUGUAGCCUGGAGUGAGGUCUGUGAUCAGAGGCUCAGUGUUUCCUACACUGCCUGCAAAGUUGUGUGGUCAUCAGUGUUACACUGUGGUUAAACUGGUAGCUCCCGAGUGUGACUGCAACUGCCUGGACGUGAAGCAGAGCGUCUUUUGAAAAUGAUCAUGCAUGCUAAGUGGUCUACAAUUUUAGAAAUGCAAAUGCUGAAGCAAAAAACAAAGUUCUGAUGUUUUUUCUUCCAUUCUGCGGUAUGUCAUGGGCAAGAAGUUCUUUUGUUUUUUUCCCAAAGCGGCUGUAAAGCCAGGACAAAGGAGAUCAUUGUUUUAAAUCCUGUUGUUUUUAAGUACUGAUAAUGUUAUCAAUAUGGUCCUGACUAAUUCUGGGCCGUUUUUCUAUGUCCUUUUAUGUCACAUGGAAAAGUUCAAUGUCCUUGCUCUGUCUGCUCAAAUCCAAAAGAAAACUCAUUGUGCAAUGUUUGUCUUGAGCUGUUUAUUCUGCUUAUCCCCUGUUUCGUUUCAUCAAUUAUGUCAAACUUGUUGCCUUUUUCUGGAAAAAGCAAGUGUACUCAGCGUGUUGAGGAGUACAGACGACAGCCAGGGAAAUUUCCAAAGAAAAGCAGGACCAUGUUGAAGUUCUAGAAUUAGGAGUGUCACACAAACAACUUUGUCAUUGUGGAAAAAGUAAUAAGCUCAAUUAUGAUUUGGCUCACAUUAAGCCGCGCUUUGUGAGGCGGGGUUUGCGGUUAGUGUAUGUUUUGAAGGCAUUUUGAGUGUGGUGCUCGCAUGUAUCAUUGCAUCUACACGCCCCCACGUACACAAACAUUUCAUAUUCAUAUUGAAACACACACACAGACUUACACACCUCGAGCCAGACUGUUGGAUAAGCCUCAUUUAACUUGCUGUGUAACUGUCUCUGUGUAACGAAUGGCUUGUGUUCUGUAGUCACGAGUCCGGCCAGAACAACAGCAUUACGGUUCCCUCUUCACUGACCAGACACAUGCACAUACACACCCACACCUCUACACUAACCAGAUAUCCUGCCUGCAGCUCCAUACAUCACCUUAACGUCCACGCUACGCUUCAUAUCAGGGGCCACCUCAGUCCUAGUGCUAUUUUUUUAAGCCGCACCAGUACCAUCCUCCCCUCCUUGUUUGGGUCUCCCCUGUUAAAGAUGCAACAUCACGUCCCCUGCCACCGCCAUCACUUUCUCAUUCUGUCUACAGCUACUUGCAGUGAGAAAUUAUGACAAAUGGCCUGGUUUUUAUGGCUUGUUUUUUCUUCCUAUUUUUCAGUUUGUUCUCUGCAUGAAAAAAAAGUCUUACAAAGGAAUUUGUAAGAAUUUAGUGAUGACUCAGCACAGUGCAGUGUUUUGCGGUUUGACCUUUUAUGAGGUGUACGUGUUUAUAAAUGUGGACAGGAUGGGUGUUUCUAACUGAUUAGUAUGAACAAACACACACACACACACACACACACACACACUAUGAGCGCGUGCAGGGGAUUAGCAGAAGGAGGAUCAGAUUCCGGAGGAUAGCAAGUUUGUAAAUGUUUCUGUAUCUGAGUUACUGCGACUGGAGUCACUGUUGACUAUCCUAAUGGCAGCAGGAGGAAACGGUUUGACUGCUGUGCCCACAAGCUCUGGCAGGUGACAUCAGUCAAGGUUGGCAAAGAUGCUUAGUGGUUAAUAAUGUCCUGAGUUUUCUCUGGAUAAACAGCCCUCUGUGAGGAGUUCUAUCGUCCUGUGUUGGUUGUCUUUACAUUCUGUUGUUUCCUCCCAAAGCCUUAAGACAUGCAGGCCAGAGCUGACGUGUGGGUCUAGACCUCAAGUUCCUAUAAUGCUUUGGGCAAAGUAAACAGGAAUUAUACUGUUAUCAUCAUAGACUGUAGUGUACGUAGUUAUCGUGAUCUCACCUAUUGCUUAUUUUGCCAUAUUGAAGCCUUGAAUUUUUCAUUUACCAUACUACAUUCCAUCCAUAGCCAUUUUUGCACCAAAUUAUGAAAGGUUACCAUAUUCGGCAUGCUGAGGAUUGCGUUCUCUGUUAGCGGCAGCAACCUGGCAAUAAAAAAUAUACUCCUAUGUUAUGUUUGACUCUGAAGUGGGUUGAGAAUAUGUUGUUGGAGGCAUUUUUCACACAAGCUACACACACAAGCUAAACAAUUCGGUUCCGUUAACUUUUCGCUUCAUGUGCUUUGUGCACAGCAGAGGGCAUGCUCUUAUUUAGCCCAGAGACCGACCCAAAAUCCGAGCAUGAGUCCUAUAGUUGAAAUAAGAAAACAAAGUUCCCAAUCGUCAUUUGAUGAAUCAUGCAAAUAGCAUGUAAAUAAAAUCUAAACUAAAACAAAGACAACAUGACAACAGGUCCGGUAAUUAUGUCUUUCCUUUAAAUCGUGCAGCAGUACACAGCAGCACUGAUUGGCAGGGCUCGACAAUCUGACGGUGAGGGAUAAAACGGCAAGUGCACUUGGGAGUACGGACAAGAGCACACUUCAAAAAAGAAGGCACAUGGAAAGCCACGAGACCGAGCAACGGCCAGCCGAUCAUUUCGUUAAUUCUGGAAGGAAUUGCUGCCAUACAGUGGGAGCAGACGGAAGAAAUCGGCAGUUCCUCGAGGCACCCUGGAACAUCUCGUUGCACGGCCAGCUGCAGCCUCGCCAGCGCCAAACACACCGUGAUUGCGGCGUAAUGCUAUAUAAAAUAACACCAGCCGACGACAUGCAGUCCUUUCUGGAGACAUUCAAGGCCACAGGUGGGCAUCCGGCUCGUGCCUCUCUUGGCGGGGGAGGCACAGACGGUGACCCGCCAGCCAGGCAUAAGUAUGCAGAUAUGCGCCGGAACAUUGAGUUGUCCCAAGACCUGCGGAGGUUUUGCGAGGCCAGGCUGGAGCAGGGGGGCCCUUGGCCUAUGCCCAGCAGCUAAGAUAUUCAGCCCCAGGUGGCUGCAGCCCUUGGCAGCAUAUUUUGUCCUGGGGUGUGGUGGACAAAGGAGCAUGGAGGAAAAUUAUAAGCACUUGGUGUGAUGUCACGUGAGAAUCUGGUCCAGGUUUAGGAACAUCAUCAGUAGCUGUAAAACAAAGGUGCCUGGUUGAAAAAAAUACAAGAAAAGGUACUUGUAUUGCUUCUUUGUUCCAGCUCCAAAAUCCUCGCCAAGUGGCAAGAGCCCUUUGUGGUCACAUGGUGUCGGGGGGGUGUCAACUAUGAGGUGGUGCGGGCUGACAGGGGCGGAGAGAGGCUGAGUCUGUUUCUCUGGUGUCUGGGGAGAGAGGAGCUGAAGCCCAAAGUUCCAAAGUCCACCAAACCGGACUUUGUGAAGCCCAUCUCUCUGGGACGCAGUUUGCUUACAUGUUCUCCCUUUGAAUGGGCUGCUAUGUUGGAAAUAGGAGUGAUAGACGACUUCAUCUGUGCUUGGCGUAGCACAAUCCAUCUUCUUGUCAGGAAGGAUGGAUCUACACGGUUCUGCGUGGACUAUCGCAGGAUAAAUAAUGUGCCACUGCACGUUUCUUCACAACACUGGAUUGAACUAAGGGCUACUGGCAGAUUCCUGUCACCAGAGUCCAGAGGAAAAAAAAAAGACCUUCUCCUGUUUUAUUUGUACCAAUUCACCAAGCUUUCCUCUGGGUUGUUUGGUGCCAGCCACCUUCAAAGGCCUCGUGGACCGGGGUCUGUGUCCACACGCGACAUAUGCUACUCUCUUUUUGGAUGAUGUGAUUAUCCACAGCACCACCUGGGUGAUGCAUGUGCAGCAGGUGGUCGCAGUGCUAGAGUUCCUAAGGCAGGCUGGGCUCACCGCCAACUCAGGGAUGUGUGCAUUUGGACAGAGGGAGGUACUGGAGUAUAUUUACAGCGGGCGGGUGGGUGCCAGUGCAGCAGUGGCCCACGACAAAAAAAGGGGUGAGGUGGUUUUUGGGGCUGGCAUGCCUCCUGACCGACCUGACCAGGAGAGGUACCUCAGAUUCAAUCCAGUGGUCAGAGCAAUGUCAUCUCAGGAAUCUCUCUGCUCUCAGAGCGAGCUUCUUAUCAGCUCUGCAAAAAUCAGCCGUCCAUAUUGAUCACUAGCUUCCAGACUAACAAAUAUUGACCCAAUCUGACUUCUCACCUUAUCCAUAGAUUAGAGGCAGAACACAGUGCCAGAACAGUGGGAAAGCCUGUUUAUUUGCACGGGCAUAUCAGAAAUGACAACAGUCCCAAUGAAAAGAGCCACUGUAUGUAAACCGCAGAGAGACCAUAUUAUCUCUUUGACCAUAUAGAGUUAUUAGGUUUCACACAUCUGAAUAUUUUGGCAUGAACCCCCAGCUGCUCAUGUCAAACGUUGCAGAGCUGUUCAAAAAUCCACACUGGUCCUUUCAUCUCAAUCAUUGGUUUGAUGCAGCCUCUUACAAUCGUUAGCUUUUGUGUUUAGCAUUAUUAUCAUAUCAUCCUAUUUUUGUCCGAACAACCCAGUUUUUUAUAUUACAAACGAUCUAACGGAUUUUUCCACAAAUAGAGGACGCCAAAAAGGCUCUUGUAUUACUCCUUUUAGGACAUUUUAUGUUUAGUAAUGUGUAGUAAAUUUCAUCUUGAAAAUGCUUUUGAAAUAUUUAGCAACAAACCAAUGUAGUAUUUCAAAAAUUAUUCUAAUGACCUUAAUACUUACUCCACUCCUACCUUGUGUCUUUGUCCAACCUUUUUCUUUCCCAAGCAACCAUAGCUUUAUGUUAAGAAAAAGAUUAUGGAUUGGGUUAAUAUACAUAAAUAACAUGGGGCUCGACACAGACAUCUGCAAUCUCAACAUGUUGUUAGUGAAGUAAGUAACAAAUGUCAUUGUGAUCUCAGGAAACGUCUGCCUAAAGCUCCUGGCAAACUUAUUCAAGAACAUCACAUGAGUGCCUCAACGGUCCAUAAAAUCAAUAAUAUUUGAAUAAAUAGAAAAAAAAACUGACACAAGUUGAAACAGGCUCUUUGCUGCUCCUUGUUAUUACUGCGGUUAAGUCAUCAAGUAGGUCGGUAAGAUGAAACUCAACAUAUUCCAACAAUAAACUAGCAGGGACAUUUAAUGAAAAUGUUUUUUCUUUUCUAAAGGUUAUUCUAAAAUUAGUAGUCCUGAAAACUGUUUAUGUCCUUUAAGUGAUGAUCCACUGUGUUGUGGGACUUUAGAAGUGAAUGUUUAUUUCCCUCGGGUAUUAUGGGUCUAAUUCAAAAUCUAGGAUGGGAGGCGCCAUCACCCACAAACCCUUCCUUCGUUAUUCAGGCCAGCUUUUUAGGCGCUCUGCCCAAACAGCAGACGGAAGAGAGGGAGAGCUAGUCUUAGUGACUCCGUACCAUUCCUUUUUUUUAAAAGCCCCUAAUUAAAAUGUUUAUUAGCCGAUUAAACCCCACCAUCCAGUUAGUGUUUCUUGUUCAGAUCCAUUCCUGCAUAGCAAUCAGAGCAGUGGGUCCCAGGCAUGCGGUUUUACACACACAGCCACACAUAAAUGAAAAUACUUCUCUGAUUACUUCUUUUGGUUUUUCCUUUAUUCCGCUUUCUUUCUUUUUUUUUUAUAACCAAUGACUUUCCUUCAUGUCUUUUCUUCGAAUGACAACUGUGGUAGGCAGCACAUGUGUAGGUUUUAGGGGUGUAGCGAUUCAUUCACUGAAUCGAUUAAUAUUCCUGCGAUCCAACUGAAUCGAUCUGUGCUUUGCAAAUCGACAUUCCGGACGAUAUAUAUCGAUUACAAAUCGAUUGAAAUGGUACGUAAUCGAUUGUAUCGAUACUUGGAAGCUUCACAUUGGAUUUAAGCACAAAAACUGUAUGGACGUGUUUUUUUAUUUGUUUUUUAGCACUUUAGACACGUUAAACGUUACUGGAUUCAGUCUGCCUGUCUGUGACGUCAUCAGUACGCAGCGGCAGCCGCGCAAAACUCGGAACAACAACAAAACACAGCGUGGAGGAGACAACUGCGAGCAAGACAUUUACAAACCAACUUAUUGAUCCAGCGUGUGGAAACAUUUUGGCUUUUGCAAACACGGAGGUGUUCUAAAUAAGUCGGUCGCUGUUUGUAGAAUAUGUAGAAGCCAAAUAAAAAACACGGAAACACGACAAAUCUUUCCGGCCAUCUACUAAGGCGCCGUGGGAUUAAACAACGCCGACAGUCAGGCACCUCUAGCAGCGUCACCGCUGCAGCAGCAGCAGCAGGUAACUCCAGCUCUGCAGACACCUCAGGCCUCGCCACCACGAAACUCAACGUCACAGUAACAAUUGCCAAGUUUAGCUGUAAAGACAUGCGACCCUACAAUGUGGUUGAAAAUCCGGGGUUCUGUAAAUUGAUCCAAACAUUGUGUAAUUAUUGUGUAAUGUUUACAUUGAAAAUGGCACUUGAUUCAAAUAAAAGGUACAGGUAAUACAUUUGCCAUUAAUUGUUGUUUGCUUGUUUAUAAUAUCCAUAAUUAAUUUAAACGUGAUUUCCUUACAAGAAACAACAGGGAUCUCGGAAACUUUGCCUGCACUGUCCAGUAAAGUUACUGAAUCGAUUUUAAGUCACUGAAUCGAAUCGACCCAUUAACAACAAAUUAACCCAGAACGUCCAUGAAUCGAAUCGGCAACCAUGAAUCGCGAUUCGAAUCGAAUCGUUAUUAAAAUGAAUCGUUACACCCCUAGUAGGUUUAUCAGAUAUUUGCAAGGUAGAAGAUAGUAUUUCUUUCGCAAACAUUCCCGUUUGUCUCAGGUUUUUUUUUAUUGUCGCUCAUCAUGCAAUGAUCUACUGUACCUCUGGAACACAGAUGUUAAUACUAAUGCUGUCCAUUUUCUGCACAUUUGCACCCAGGAGUUUCGCCCCAGGCGAUCUUGAAGGCCCUUUGAGUGACCUUCUGCAGCAGUUAUAAGCAGUCAAAUUAUGAAUAAGUAUGAGACAUGAGCCUAUUUGAUCGUUAUACCAAGCGCAGCAUUAGCAUUUUAACUCUUAUAUCAUUCACACGUCUUUUAAGUGUUAUAGUGUUGGCUUUGAGUGACAGGUGGAUGCUGUCAGGUAUUUCUCCGCUAAUUAUUCUGCUUCAUCGAAGAUCCACCUCUCUGUCCACAUCUCGAUUAGCCAAGAUGGUGACGACCUCACUCUCCCCCUUUUUGCUUCACAACUACUCGUCAGAAAUCCAUGAGUGACGCCACAGAAACUAAGUCCAUGUUUUAUACACAUUCCUCAUCUCAGGGCACUGACCCUUUUGUAAUAAAGCGGAAACUGGAUUGUAUCUUUAACUUUAAAGAAAAAUAGGCCGACCAGCUGAACCGGGCUGAAAGAAGGCCAACACUUCCCAUCCCUGGCACAGUCUGUCCAUCACGGAGAUGCGGAUCAGAAACCGGAGAUUAGAAGCAACAGGAUUAAUGAAACAAAAGACGUGUUACAUCUUGCUCUGACUGGUUGUCACUUAUUUCCACUAUGCCCUUCUUCUCCUCUUCAGCCUGAAGAAACCAUAAUUAUGUCUCGGGCCCAAUGAAAUCACUGAUGCAUCCAUCUUCGUUAACUCUGUCAGGAAAAAAAAAGAAGCUAAUAGCGGCAGUUGGCCUCUCUGUCUUGAUUUUCGUCUUCCCACCUCUUGUCUGAUUCCCAAACCUCAAGUUUUUGAGUUCAGAAUACAGUCUACCACACAUUUUUUUAUUUUUGAAUAACCAAAUAUACAAUAUGGGAGCUGGCAUCUGGGUUUGAGAAAAUAAAAUCCCCUGCACCACAAUCAUGCAGUCAUGGGUAUAGAGAUACAGUUGGGUUUCAUUGUUGUGAAACCGACCUGGAUAUGGAUGGGAUAAUUAUAGUGGCAGAAUUCACUACAUUGAAACCAUAAAAGUAAAAAUGAAAAGCUACAAUUCAACGUUUAAAAGCUUUAAUCAUAUUGAGGAUAGUUUGGAAUGAUGUCUCUCAUAAUGGCUUUAACCAAAAAUCCACCCUUUUCUCAUUAUCACAUUAUAUUUGUUCCAUAUGCAAAUGUUAAAUAGGUUUGAUUUCCAAAUCUCUGUCAACACGAGAGUCGGCUCAGCUUUUACGUUGCAGUGCCUUUAUAAUCUUCUCUACAAAGAACUAAAAAUAUAUAUUUUUACGAGUAAAAGUUUCCAUGCUUUUACUGUUGUGUGGUUUGAGACAGAAACAUGCUACCUGGUAUCUGUAAAGUGCAGUGUUUAUGUUUAUGUUUGGGCUCAAAACCGUUUAUGGUGAAAAUGAAAGUGGUGAGGUCACAACGAGACAUGAAUAUGAAAAACCCACACCCGACCUUCUAAAGGACGAUCAUCUUACAGAUGGUUAGACAUCAACAGGAUUUCAGGAGAGAAAAACCGAGUGUGUGGUAAGUGUCUCGGGGGAGGGAACAGGGUUCAGUGUUUGGGAUCACAGUUCACCUGGACCCUCCAGAGUUUGUAUGUGUACUCGUGUCUGCACAUGCGUAUGAAGGGAGUAUUUUUGUGCAUCUAAGUGUCUAAAGAAGAAAAUUGAUGUAAAACUUGACCCCGGGAGGUUGACCUUUUCACCUUGGGGGUCAUCCAGAGGUUGUACAUCUGUGGGCAAGAGUGAUGGGAGCUGUGUGAGUCGGGUUAAAAUGUGCUCAUCAUGGAAGUCAGUCUUACUGCCGCAUGUUUGCUCUCAUGAGGGAAUGUGUGGAAUAAUCAAGAGUUUUCUUGUGUGUUUUAUCUGGAGAUCCGCAUACUUGUGGCUUGUGACAGCCGAAAAGGCUAGAGAAGCAACAUUUUUCAGGAUUCAUCAUUGAUGAUGGCUCCAUUCCAUCCAAGCCUCCCAAUGAGCAGGAUCGCAUAAUAGUGCAACCUGUAACCAGAAACUGUUGUACCUUAGUGGAAUGCAGCCAUUAAUCACGUUAUCAUGACACCUCUGGGCUCUUCCUGCUGUGACGAGUUCACAUCUCUAGUGCGGAAAAGGUCAGCUGCGAGCGCUGAACAAACGCGCCCAAACACCCCCCGCAUGAUCAAAGUACAUCAGAUGACAUCAUUAGUUAAUGUUUGCGUGACACGGUACGGGAAGUAGCAAAAUGUUCUAUACUUCCUCAAACAAGUUUGAGGUUUAUCUGUCUGCUCUGCUCGAGUGACUGGCAGCGUCGCUGAAGGGCUGAGCUGAUUUUUAAGGUUUUUCUUUGUCAUUUCUUCUGCUGCAGUGAGACAUUUUUGUGAGAUGGCGCAAUCUUGGAAAGGCAGACGUCCUGUUGCCAGCAUAAAUUAGGAACAUUGAAUUACUGAUUUGUGAAUUGUUUGUGUAAAUGCAAAACAGUUUUCUCCCCCUUUCAUCAUGAAUUCUGUAAGAACUGAUUUUCUAAUAUGCAGGUCAAAAAAUGUCUUUGUUUGGGUCGGCACAGAGAUUUAUUUGGGAUGUCAUACGUGUUGAACAGUUGCACGUUUACAUACUAUACUACUUUACUAUAACUCGAUCAGCCGAGCUGUCGAUGUCAAGCCUAUUUUAGUGACAUCAAAUGUUAUACAGCAAUGCAGUCAAGGAAGUAGGAGUGCUGUAGAGCUUGUUUGGAUCCAGAAACAGCUGUCCCCUUCGAGGCGUGCUGCUUAAAUAAUGAGCAUGUCAACAAUCACCUCUCAAACCAAGGAGUGUUUGUGUCAUUAUAAUCAAUUAAACUGAGUUCACGACUGUCAAAAAGUGGAACAGGUCUAAUAUUUUAAAAUCGUGAGGUAAGUAAGAGACCAAAGAAAACAACCUCUAAUUAGGGUCUGUUUCACACCUGAAUGCAAAAAGCCUAAUUAAGGAGCUGCUAGAACCGAGGCAGUACCCUGCGAGGCAAAGUUCUACUUUAGAACUUUAGCUGGUCUGUUAUAUGAAGAUAUCUACACAAUUAAAUAAGAUCUUUAAAAUUAGUUAUUUUCCAAUUUUCACAUGUUUUUCACUGACCUCAAUAAACUCUGUACUCUUCUGCCUGCAAGUGUCAUACAAUAUCUUCCUUUAAGAAACUAAUUUAAUCCAAUGAAUCGCGUUAUUCAAAUUUACUAUGUCAUAUUUUGCACAUUGGAAGCUAAAGUAAAAACCCUCAUUAAAUGUUUUGGAUGUAAAAAAGGACAUUUGGCACAGCCAUACCUUUUAAUAUACAUAGUAGCAUCUGGAAAUAUUACACAGUAGUGGAGAUGUAUUAUUGUGAAUAGGACUUGUUGACACUUCUUUUCUUGUAUUAUCUCUUGUGCAGAAGAUAGAAAAGUCACCGUCCAAAUAUUUUAUAUACAGAGCAUAUAGCUCACCACUUCAGCAUGUGGAGCAAUCCAAUUCUGGACGGACAUGAAGGUUGCAAUAAUAUGAUUAGCCAACUGCAAUCUGCUACAACCAUCCAUGCUGUAAAAUCUCAUAUGUUCAAGCAAAUGCUUUUUCAAGGUAUGGCUAGAUUUAAAUGCUAAUAUUAAAUGCAACAUUUUACUUACAUUCUCGAAAGACUCGCAAUGAGUAGUGGUAUUAAUAUUCAGAUAGAAAACAGAGGAAAGCAAGGAGAAAAGGCGGAAUCUUUGCAAACCAUGAGAGCCGCCGUGAAGGCAUUGUUCUCUUCAUGAGAUUUAAAGGUGUGAUUAGAACAUUUGGAGACACAUUUACCCUCUAUCUUUGUAGAUUUAUCACUCCAAACCAAGAUUCAUGAGUACUGUUCUCCAUUGAGCUUAUUUUCUUAGCUAGGUCGCCAUCCAAAUGCUUCUAAACAGUUUGUCUUUCUCUUGGCCGACAUUUGUAAAAAGAAACUAUGUACAAUAUGUGAGUGCCAGGCACGUGCACAGACAUUUUGGGGUGCAGGUGCUCAAACCAAAACAGAAGGGCACCCUUCGCCAAAAUUAUUGACGAAAUUAACAACAAAAAAACACAGUACGAUUUUUUCCUGGCAUUAUGCAAACAUUUGUAAAUGAGAUAAAUCCAUGUUGUGCAUAAUUGCAUAUUUUUUUUGUACUGUUUUCUGACAGAGUUGAAGCAUAAGCAGCAUUAAUACACCACAACAUACCUCACCAGGCUGGCAUGCAGCUCAACUUAAGACCUACCUUUUAUUUCAAAUUUCAAAAAUCGAAUUAAAUUAAACAAAACUAGUAGACUUGUCUAACUUGCAGAACAGUAAAACUGCCUUGAACUUCUCUGCCUGUCUGUCUGCAUCUGUCUCCCUCUCUUCAUUAAACAUGACAGACGUCAGUAAACAGCUCAACAAGGGUUCGAAAUCACGGAUUUCAUGAGUUUGUUUAUUUUUUAGAAAAAACGUCAGACCAGUUGCGACGUAAUCUUUUCAGAGGCACUAUUGUUGUGGUUAAUUUAUCGGCAAACAACGCCGCGGGGGAUUGCACAAACACCCUAAUUACCUGUUUGUGAGCGCCACGGAACAUGUCGGGGCAUACGGUACAUGACUAAGCUGAUUCAGAUUCUAAUUCUGGACUUUCCUGCCCAAAUUAUUCUGAUUGACUAACGUCACACAAAUACAUCUCAGUGUUGCCUUUCAUUUUAAUGCCAGCAUCACCCCCGAAAAGCAAAUAAACAUCUUACUCUUCACCGCUAAAGGUUCAUCAUCCUCUAGCCUCUGCAAGGCUAAGAUAGCUACUAGGCUACUUCCAUCUGCAACAUCUACCAUGCGGGCCACACAGUCUGGAGAGGACUGUGUACCUAAAAAACAGUGGUUUGGAAAAUGUCCUGGCUAAAUGCCGGGAGAUUGUUGGCACAUAGCCAUCAAAUGAUGGAGAGUUGAGAGCAGAGCAAAGUGCACGAGGACAGCAGGAAGAGUCGCUAGUUCCACAUGUUCCACCCGGUGGAAUUCUGCCUCCAAGAUGGAUGAAAUGCAUGUAGUGUUGUGUUUAAAAUACACGCAUUUUGAAUUGAUUACUCAUUACUUGUAAAAUGUAGUUUUCGGUGAAAAACAUACUUUUAAUUGUGAUUAAUCGCAAUUAAUAUAUUUCAAAAUGUGAGAUUGAUUAGUUAUUUUCUUUUAAUCCAUUGACAGGCCUGAAUAUAUACUGUGUAUAAAGCCUAUUGUAAUGACCUAACAUUUUCUAAAAAGAAUUAUGGAUUACUAAUUUGAGCCAAAGUUAACGCUUAUCUAUCCUUAACUCUGCAGUGUUAAACAACAAAAUUAUUAGUGUUUUAUGCAGUAAAUAUUCAGCAGAGGAUGCUGGGAGUAAUCAAAAUAAGCCACUUGCUUUUCUUUUACUUGUAUUACAAGCUGUGUCGAUGUGUGCCACCAUUCCCUAGUGGUAACUGAACUGUUUGGAGUGCGUUGGGUGCCUUGCCAAGGCUGCGUUUUCCCAUGCAUCGUAAACUGCCCUCAGUGCAUGACGGAGGCCGUAGGGUGCCCAGUAAAGAAACCACGGGGAAGUGUGUUUUGUGCCAAAGCAUUAUGGUAUGUGGCAUACUCUACUUGCUAUUAAACACAUUUUGCUCCGUCUAUUUUAUGAUGUUUGGUACAAGGUUACUGGAGGCUGACUGUGUGUUAUGUGUGUGGCAGUGAACACUGGCUUCUAGCUGUAGCUCGUGGCUUGGCACUUGAUAAACCUACUUCCUAUGGUUUGUGUGUGUAAAUGCGGAGAUGAAACAAACUCAUUUUAAAGGGAUGCAAUCAGACACAAAAAUGCGCACACACACACACACACACAGAGACGCUGAGGCUUUAAAUACCAUGCUGCUUCAAGUGAAAAGAGAUAAUAAGCAGGAACACUACUCAGUACCCUUUUGUAAAUCAAAUGCACCAGCAUGCACAAAUACUCGCACACAGGUGGGCCAGUCAGGUCAUCUGGAAUCAGUUGAAGCUCUCCAGGACCAUUUCUCCACGGCUGCUGUUUAACUCGUUGCCAGCUGGUCUCAGACCAGCGAGGAGCAGAGACGCACUGGCACACAGGAAGGAAUCAUUGACAACUGAGUCAGGAGAGAGAACAUCUGAUCAAAUAUUAAGGCUUGAGAUAAUGGCUCAUGUAAGGAUUUAAUUAGAGAAAGCCAACGUUUAUAGAGUUUAUCCAGAUAAUUACUGGUCUUAGUUGAGAUGAAGAGGGUAAACACUGUGAAACGAUAAUGAACCAUGUUUACGUUGGAAAUGAUUCAGCUGUUUUGAAAUGAUCUGAGGAAAAUAUUGAUAAACUCAGCACACACAAAUAAGGAAAAAGAACAGCUUGCUUGAAAUCAAUGGACAAUGGCAUCACAAAAUACAUUCUAUUAUAUGGAACUUCAUGGAUGCUUCAAUCCAAGGAGAUGUUGUCUCAACGUUUAGUAUAAGCAUUACAUUCUAAGCUAUAGUAGACUGAAUAACUUUAAUUUUAUGCCUAUGCGUGUUUCAGAUAUGCCUUGAAGUAUCUGUCAAUCGACAGAUUCAGGUUGAUCUUUCUUCUGGACAUUCUUGUCCGUCCUUUCUUACUGCGGUAUUCUCCUUACGGAGAAGAUGUAAAAUGCGUGUUCUUUUGUCCUGUGUCUAGUAGUUUUGAAGUGAUCUGUAAUGCCUAUCUAUGUAGAAGGACUUUCGGUAGGCAUUAAAGUGCUUCUGGAAGACCAUCCGGCAACCUCAGGAGGGGGAAACGGGGAACCAUCCAAGCUGUGUACAGUAAGGAUGGGACCCUGUUGACCGCGACUGAGGAGAUUAUCGGGUAGUGGAAGGGACAAUUUGAGGAACUCCUGCAUCCAACUACUGCGCCCUCUUUGGUAGAGGCGGAGGAGGGAUCAUUGUCAAUUUGCCUGGUGGAGGUCACUGAAGUAGUCAAACAACGCAGUGGCAAAGCCCCGGGGAUUGAUGAGAUCCGUCAAGAAAUGCUAAAAGCAAUGGGUGUUGGGGGGCUGUCUUGGAUGAAACGCCUCUUCAAACUUGCAAGUCUGGGAUAGUGCCAAGAGUGGCAGACCGGGGUGGUGGUACCCAUCUUCCAAAAGGGGGACCAGAGAGUGUUUGCCAAUUACAGGGGUAUCACACUACUCAGCCUCCCUGGUGAAGUCUACUCCAAGGCCAGGGAUUGAAGAGGAACAAUGCGGUUUUCAUCCUGGUCGUGGAACGACCGACCAGCCCUACUCUUUCCAGGAUCAUAGAGGGGGCCUGGGAGUAUUCUCAUCCAGUUUACAUGUGUUUACUAGGUUGAGAGGUUAUAUCUCUGCACUGGCCUGGGAACGCCUUGGGAUCCCCCAGUUAGAGCUGGUAGAUGUGGCCCGGGAAAGGGAAGUUUGGGGUCCCCUGCUGGAGCUGUUGCCCCACGACCUGACCCCGGAUAAGCAGUUGAAGAUGGAUGGAUGGAUGGAUCUAAUGCCUACCAAAGGGGAGGAGUCUGAUCGGGUUGUGUCCAGGGUAUGAAGGUCUGCAGCGAUCUUUCAUGCCAAUUUCCUGACUCUGGAGGUCCAUACUACCACCUGUAGUAUUAACCAGUGUGGACACGCCCAAAAGGUCACAACAAAUUGGAUAAUGUCAUUGGUAGACACACUACUAGCAUGUACUAGUACCUUUUUUACCCCCUUUGUAUCCACCGUUUACGUUUAUGUUUAUCAAGGAUCCCCAUUAGUCUACACCGUAUUCUUCCUGGCGUCCAGGCGAAAAACCAGGUGUCUGCAAACCUUAUUAUCCAAAGUGCCAUUUUACCCAAUUUCCCAUCAAAUACAUGUUGGAGUUUGUUGGAGUGGUAUAUUGGAGUCAAUGUCUGGAGCUGCACUAGUUAUUUGAAAUCACAGCUUUUUUAUUCAUGAAAAUAUAGAACAAGUAAGGACAAUUCUUGACACUUUAUUGCUAAUUUACCUGUUAUUACAAUAUCAAAUAUCAAAGAGGAGAAAAAUUAUUUAUUGAGGUCAUCAUAGAAGUAAGCAGGCCUUCAGUCCUGUAUUUCUGGGAAAAAUAUAAAAUAAAUGAAAUAAAUAAAUAGCUUCAGCCUAACAUCUUAAUACGAGUCAACGUAUAAAAAUUGUAGUAAGUCAGACUAAAGUCCAUUUCCCUAAUAGCCGUCAAGCGUAGUGCCUGGAUAGAAAAACCAGCAGUAGUCUAGUGUGGAGACUUGAUUACUUUGUAAAAUUAUCGUAACGGACCGAGUGAGAUCAUUGACAUCAUCCAACAGCACAUGUUUGGACUUGUCAUGGCCCAGUUGUUUUAUAGUAAAAUUUUGAUGGCUCCAUUGUAGUCAGGUUCCCCUGUUAUGCAGAUAAAUGUUAAAGUGAGUACUACUGUUCUGUGUACAGAAGGAAUAACAUAUCUGCCAAGGCUGACCAAAAAACAUGCAACCCAAGCAUUUAACUGGAAAAUGCAAUUAAUGCCAUUUUUUGACUGCAGACGUUAGCCUUCAUUUGUAAACUAAACUACCUUUUAAAGUGGGAAUAUGUAUAAAAAGAUGUAAAUUUGUCAUUUAUGGUGUUGAAAUGGUACUGCAUCUUAUACAUUGGUGGGAUAGUUGAUGAGUAAAUAGGUAUCAUUGUAUAUAACCAAUGUGUGUUGGGGGAGAAGGUGCAUUCCAUAUGAAUUCUGUAAGGACAGCCAAGGAAAAAAGCAGCAGUAAAUAUUUUUAAUAUAACUUCAUUAGCUCCAUUAAUUGGUCGCUCUUUUGUCAGUAAGAAACAAUCAUGGGAGAUGACAAAAGGGAGAGAGUGAGUUAUGUCUCUGAAGACCUUGGAGCAACCAGCUGGCAUGCAUGCAGUAAUAUCUGCAGCCAUUAACCCACUGGCACCACUAACCAACUGUCGUCAUCCUCUUUAUGAAGUAUGGCCGCUAUUACAUCGAGGCAGAAAAAAAGGGCCCAGCUUGUCCAGCCGUCAGUCACAUUAACAAGCCAGUAAGAUCUCACCCUCGCCGCUGCAGGGGGCGGGACCCUGUGUAGGGGGUUGUUGCCCUGUUAAAGUUAAUGAGAGCUCAUAUCUUUUACUGGCAAAUUUUCACCUGCAUGGCAUGGGGCUCCAACGCUGGAGUGGGUCUGCUUUCCAAAUGCUACUGCAUUUGGUUAAUAAAUGGAUGACGCAAGUGUGUAUGGUGUAUGUAGGUGUGAACAGUUUGUUGUUUUCACAGGUCCUCAGUUCCCAUGGAGUCAGUCCUUCUGUGGUAUGAUGCAAGCGGCCCCUUUUAUAUCUGAGGUGGGGGGAAAAAGGCAUUUUACACCGCGUUGAGAUGAAAAACAGUGUAAAGCCCAAAUGAUUAACACAUGUUAGAAUGUGAAUGUCUAGUUUUAGCUUAACUCUGCAGAAGAUGACUGAUUCAUAGAUGCAGUUUUGGUACUGAAGGGUUGCACAUCAAAGAAAAUAAACAUCUGGCCACCUUACUUUUUUCGUGUCAUUUUUGCAGUACAGAAGUCAACCUUGGUUACUGAAAUUACCAGUAGGGAAAUUGGGGGCAGAAGGAAUCUCAUUAAUUGAGUUUAAGUUCAGUGGGCAGAGUUUUUCUAUUCUUAGAUAAGUAAGCAUGCUGUGAUCAUGUCUAAAGGCUGAAGAAAAAAGAAUGUUGAGUUCUCUUUUAGACAAAUGUCCAGAGUUUUUGGGGGCAAAACUUUGCGACAUAAUUAUGCCUUAAAUUAAUUCAGAAUCUCAUUGUUUGUUCUCCGUGUUCACCAUUUUGCUAACUUGCAAGGUGCUUUGCGUCUUUGGCUCCACGAUAAUGGGCGCCAAUUCAAAAUAUAUCUAUAUGAUGCGUAAAAGCAGCAUCCACUUCACUGUUCAUUACCUUGUGCUCAAGACAACGUUGUCUUUCAAGUUACAGAAUUUAUGCUCUUUCAGAGAACAGGCACCACCUGUGUUUUAGGCUAAUCCUAUGCUCUGUGAUUUCUCAUGGAAAAGGAUUUAAAGUGUCAUCAAAAAUAGACUUUCCAUCUCUGACAUCAGAUUACAUACCUCACAGCGGUUUAGCUGAGGUUUCUGAGCCUUUUAUGUUACCGUGGGGACCAUAGUUGAGACCAUAUUAUUUUGCUGUUGAAUAUGGGACAAGACCAAUAGUUGCCAUCUUCACGGGAUAUCUGAGAUCUGUGGUUUGAAUUUCCUUGGCUAACGAUGACAGUUACCAUGACAGCCAGAAAAUGUUUUCACCAAAAGACAACAUUGUGGUUUUUCAUCUCCUUUUUUGUUGCCACAGAGCAUGUGGACUUUGAAAUUCCGAAAAGGCCAAAAUAAUGGUUUCAGGACAGCAGUUUGGAAAUGAGGUUCGGUGAAUGAGAUCUGUCACAAUUUGUGGGGGACCAAUAUUUGGGACUGCCAAAUGUCAAGCUCACCAGGAUCAGUGACUUAGAGAAGUCACCUACUCUAAACCACAAGUUUGCAAAUAUCUUAGCCAAUGAUCAUGUUGGCACUGUAUAGUAUUACCAUUUGAAUAAAUAUGCUGUACAGAAUAAACUAAUCCACUGAGUCAAACUGAAAGCAUUUACCCAAGAUUCUGGUUUUUAUUCAAAUAUACGCUAUACCUGAAUUUCUAGAAAAUUGAACUCCUUGAAAUUGAGAUCUACUUCUUUUUACAUGGGUUUUCAGUUUUAUGGUAUUGUCAGAGCCUUGCCUGUCAACUACUGGUGAAUUUAUAUUCCUGGUUUUAAAAACAGCAUUUGCUAACAAGUGAGACUACAAAACGGCAUCAUGCCGAGAACAUCAUCUGUCCUUGAAAAAGGCGUCAAGUACUAGCCAUCUGUCGCAGAGAAGAGCGGGUCUUCACAGAAUGCGGCCAGGGGGCACAAAAAUAAUUCUAACUUACUAACUACAGUUACCAAAGCUACAGUUGCAGCUACCAAAUGGCCCCAUCUAUAUUCUUAGUUGUAACCUUUCAGAGUGGAAAUGUAUCAGUCCUUUGGUAAAAACAAGAAGACAUUUAUCAUCUGGAGGUGGGUGAAUGUGUAUUGAACAGGUGAAAGGCAGAAGACGAGGAAGCUGCCAAGACCUCUCAGUGCACACAGCAGUCUGUGAGGAUGAGGGCGGCACACCGCAGACUUGGUGUCGGUUAUGGAGCCUGACCAAACAAACAUUCCUUUCCCUUUCAUCCACUUUGUUUGUCCUCGUUUCUCCGGCAAGUGGCCACAUACAUUCAGCAUGACUCCAUGCUCCGCUUUGCACAUACAAAGGCUUUUCAGCAGCAGUUUUUACACACCGUUUUUAUCUGAAACAAUAAGGGACAUGUAUUCGCUCAGUUGGUUUUAAAGAGCCGAGCAGAAAUUACAUUUACAUUUUUUGCAGAAGUCAAGGCAAAGUAUUUUAGCUUUGUUUUAGGUCAGGUUGGUCUCAUCCGCCAGCAAACAACGAUCCUUCUUCACCUGUGAAACGGGAAGGCUCCUCCAGGAACCGUGCAAGUCUACACCAAAUGAACUUGCAAUACUUUCGAUAUUUGUUGAGAUUAGACUAGAUAUGACCGAGGGAUUGUACUACCCCCUCUCCCUGACUCUGUGCUUCCACAGAUACAGCAAUCAUGUAGAGAUUUGCCACUAUUUUGGAAAGCUGUUGCUACAGCUGGUCUCUUGUUACUGGACCCACGUGACCAAUGUAAUAUUAUGUUAAUAUUACGCUGCAGCUCCCCGGUUUGCAUUUGAUUCACUUGUUUUCCACAUUGCGCCGUGCCAGCAUUAUGGUUAGCAGCAGAUCGGUCUCAAGGAGCAUAACUCUUCUUGGUUUUAGACCAGAGGAGCCCUACUCCCAUUUAAUGAGAGUCGUCUGAGAGAGAAAGAGAGAGAAACUUAUGCUUCGCUCUCUCCGUCGGGACAGCUGCAUCUGUGGUUUUCUCCUCUGAUGGCGCUGUGGGUUUGGGCGUCGUGCCCUUAAGACACUCUACCUCUGCUUCGAUGUUUAAUGGCAGAUAUGAUACACGGAGAGAUAGGGAGAGCGAGAGAGAGAAAGAGACUGUUGGCGAAUGUACUCUUACAGAAUGAUUGAUAGCGCAUUAAAAGGCAAAAUGUCACCUUUUAGGUAAUUUGCAGAAAGUCCUUUGUUGACAAAACGGAAAAGAUUUAUGCAAACCAAAUCAAUCAAUAAUUAAGAAGUAUUGGUUAAUAAACCUUUCCUAACGUUUCGAUCCCCUGAAUGGACACUUUUGACAUAUAAUGACUCAAGCGCUGAAUGGCAGCAGGCUACGCCACAGUAACCAAAACACCAGGCAACAUUUAUCUUCCACCGCUGCCAGAAAUGUCUAAGCACGAGACUGAUACCAGACACAUGCAAGAGAGAGGAAUGGAGAAAUAAUCAGAUAAAAAGAAGACCGGAUUGGAGGAGACCAGGAACGCAAAAAAAAAUUGGAGGGUGGGCGAAAGGAUUGAUGUAGCAUCUCCGUGUCAGAUCCUGAUGAUAAGAAUUGAGGAGGACGGGCCUCGAGGGUUCAUUAUGGGAUUUGACCUUCCCCUUCACAAUGUAUCGCUAUUUUCAACUGAACAUAAACUUCAACAAAGAAUCCACAAAGUACUAAAACAGCUGGUGCUACUAACUACUUUUUGUUCAAUGGUAAUUACAUAACACUUUGAGUGUGUUUUGUGGGUUACUUGCAGGAUCUCUUGUGCGGUGUUUCAAAAGGGCUGCGGACACUUGAGCGUGGGUUGUUACAACUGUACAACUUGCUCUACAUCCCUGUGUAAUUAAAGUCAAAUCAUCCAAGUUCCUGCUCACAGCUGAUAGACAGAGGGAGGGAAUGCCGACACCUUACACAGCCAGAGAGAAAUAACAGAUAAAGAAUAGAAAGAUGCUCACUUGGGAAAGUAUUGCAGGAAGGGAGGGAGGUGCAAAUAGUCAAGGCCAGACGGACAGAGGGAGGAGAGGAAGCGAUUCUAGCUGUUAGUCAAGAUUUGUACAACCUUGACACUUGUUCAGGGCAGUCAACCUUUACUUACCUUUGAGAUUUUCAUUACUCACUUUUUUUUUGUUAGUUCUGGUGCUCUUGGGUUGAGCAUCUAAAAUUCAAGUCAAAUCAAUCCCUUUAGUGCCUGUUCAGUUUUCUCAGAGGGGUGAAAAUAUUUACCAUCUAGCUCAGUGAG